rnacentral:lncRNA from 1 species
GCACCCCUAACACACCCUACCUGAGGUAAGCUACUUUGUGUUCUGAUGUGAUUUGAAAAUUUAAAAUAUUAAUUAAAUUCUAAGGCUUGAAUAAAUCAGUUAUUAAAUCCCUGAAUAUAUAUAGAAACUUGUUCUUAUAUUUUCAUGGAAAAUACAACUUGAUUUUAUUUGUCCUUGAGAUAUUUAACCAUAUUUAAAUUAACAAUUAAUUCUUUUUGUCCUUUUUUUUAUAAUUCAAUAAUAUAAAUAAAAAAAAAACAAACACACACAAACAUUUCUUUUUCUUUUCUUUUCUUUCUUUUCUUUUCUUCUACAUCCACAUUUACAUAAAAUACAAAAUACAAACUAUGAAAAGAAAAACUCAAAAUUACACAAAUAUAACAUUAAACAAUUCUAAAAUUACAAAAAAUGACCCAAAACAAUCCGGGACAGUGCUGGUAACCUCUGAGUCGCUGGAAUAGUGCUGUGAAGACCUCUGGAACAGCAAGGACAGUGGCGGCGCGUGGACCCACGCGCCGCCGUGAAAUCAAACCAGAAACAGGGGGGCCAGAAAUGGCUUUCUCCCCUCUUCUCUUCCUCGCCGGCGGUGACAACCACCGCUAUCUGCAGAACGGAGAAACACACACAAACAGCAGUUGAUUUUAAUUUUUCUUUCCGUUACAGAUCUGCUUCUCUGCAGAUCAGUUCUUUGUUUCCUUUCUCUUCUCUGUCAUGGACGGGUCUGCUGUAGAGGAGAUGAGGGGAGCUGUUCGGUUCUUUGGAGAAGAGGGAAGGCAGCUCUGGUGCCCAACGGCUGUGGAAGAAGGACUGUUGUUGGAGGCCGAUCUGCGCCGAUGAACGAAGCUUCUUCGCAUGCGGGCUGGAAGGAAUGGCGAUGGUGACAGGGGCGACUCCUGGUAGUCGGUGGCCGUCGCUGUUGAGGGCUGAGAAAGGAGUUGAUGGGUCGACUGGGAGAGAGGCGAACUCGUGGGGAGCAGCUGAGAGGGAGGAUAGUGAACGGCGGUUGGGCAAAGGCUGAGGCGAUGUGGUAUGGUCUGCUUCUCCUUUGUUGAGGGAAGGCUUGGUCGGCUGGGAAACUGACGAUGUGGUGGGGCUUGUUUGGUCUGAAAGAGAGGGGAGUGUGGGUGUGCAAGGGCUGAGGAAGAAGAUGAAGAUGGAAUCAGUGGGGGACGGGCUCUAUGCCGGGACGAAGAGAGGGACUGUGGGAAGCUGGUGGCUGUGAUAGGAGGAGAAAACAAAUCAAAAAGGGGAGUGUGAGGCUGGCCGGUCGGUUGGGGGGGAACGGCCAAGGAAAGAGAUGUUCGGGUCUAGUUUCUGCUUGGAUCCGGGUUGGGGGUCAGCGGCUGUGGAUGAAGAGGAUGAGGGGGGAGCUGUGUUUGGCUGCUGGGUGAGAAAAAAAUUCAACGUGGGGGCCGGCGGCUGGUUUCCCAAAGAAGAAGACUAGGGAGAAAAAUUCAAAACCAGUGGGGGAGGCGCCGCCGGCCCGUUUUUUUUUAGUGGGGAGAAAGAGUUGGGUUUUAGGGUUUUUUUUGUUGAAUCUGUCAAAACUAACCCCCCCCCCCCUUUUUUGUUUGAGUUGUGGACCAGUAUUUAUAGGUAAAAUGUUGCAUGGAUCUCAAAAUUGGUCCCUCAACUUUCUUUCUUUUUUGUCAAUUUGAUUUUUCUUAAUUUUUUUGUAUUUUUUUUAAAACGAGCAAUAUCAACGUCGACUCAAUGAAGAAAAUCAAUGAUUUUAAAAAUAACGCGUUAAAAGUUGAACGCGUUCCAAAUGUCUUUGAAAAUUUAAAUUCUUUUGAGACGAUGCUAAAAAUGCUAAAAACGAUGCAAAUGUAUUGAAAAUGUAUUUUUUUGGAUUUUCAAUGUUUUUCGCUAUUUUUGGAUUUUUUUGAAAAUUUAUCAAAACAUGGGUCAAAAAUUGGGUAGCAACAAGUAUGAAGACAUAUAUGGAUCAACCUUUAUGGGCUGCCCCCAUGGUUAAAGGUGGAGAGCUACCUGGACUCUUACGACUAAGAGCGAGAGACUCACGGAGAAGUAAGGCGUGGUUCCUAGGGUGGAACAGAGGGCAGGCGCAACUCCUGGAUGAGUAGACUCUUGGAAGAGUGGUGAGCUUGUGAUCACAUUGAAAUACUCAAUGACUGUCGCACUUGGGAAUAUUCGUUUGAGGGGGUGUUGUAAGCCUUGGUGUAAGGCUUGAAAAAUCAUUCCGGACCGAGCAUGGUUGAUACGCUCGAAGGGGAAUGUUGUGUUGAAGACGCUCUCAAAAUGGAAGCUUGGAAGAACUGCAGAAUGCAAGCUUGUGCUGAAGAAGCAAGAAAACAAUUGCCCACACAAAUGGCAAAGGGGGUGAUUGUUGGGAUAUUGCCAUUUAGUGGCAAUACCCCACCACUAAUUGUGGCUUAGUGGAAGCAUCACUAAUGCCACAAUUAGUGGCAUGAUUUCGGGACCUAUUGUCCCUUUGCUAUUGCUGGAGAAAGUUGCCAAGAAUUGCCUAUAAAAGAGGCAUGUUUUGAGAGAGAAGUGAGAGUGUAGAGAAGAGAACGUAAGAGAACAAGAGAAAAAGUGAGGGGUUGCCAAGGGCAGCAGCCCUGCUGCCUUGUGCAGCAGUGUGGAAGCCAUGGGAGUUGAGUUUGAGUGAAGUGAUCCUCCUCCUCCAUGUAUGUUGUAAUCCUUUCUCUAUAUAUCUCUAAUAAUAUGGACUCUCCCGUGGAUGUAGGCGGUUUUGCCGAACCACGUAAAAUAUUGUGUCAGUGUGCUUAGCCUCCGAUGAGCAACUAUCAGUACACCCCCGGUCCGCGCAUGGGGGUGACGGAAUUCCCCAACACUUGGCACAAGAUUACCAUAACGUCUUGAUAUACUGCAUAAGCUUCUUAAGCUGCUCGAUCUUGGCUGUGAUCAGCUGAUCGUCAUAAAUUUUACUCGUUCAGUCUCGUUAAUCCUGACUGCUUUUUAUCAAUGAUGCUCUAGCUGAAAUCAGAUAGCCAAGUUAACUUGACAAAUUGGUCUUACUAUGUCAACUUGUUUUCUUUUAUUCUCUAGGUUUUUAAUUUCCUUUUCUGAUCAAUGACACAUGCCAUGAUGAUGAUAUUCAGAUCAGCAGCGAGAAUGCGGUCUACCAAACCGAAAAAUAGACCGAGGGGUUAAUUGUAUCAAAUUCAUUGUAAAGGAGUUAUUGGACCAGAUUAACAUGGUGAAGGGCAUGUGGAGAUUUUUAUCCAUUCAUCCUCCAAUCCUUGAUUUAAAUACAAUUUCAAAUUUUAAUUGUUCCCAAUCUUAUGGGAAUAAAUAAAAAACAGUACUUUAGUAAUUCCUGAUUCCAUUUCUUUUUUUUAUAUAUAAUCAUCGAAUAGAUUUAUUAUUGUUAAUCAUUCUUUUUCUUUUUCUUUUUCUUUUUCUUUUUAUCAUUGUUAUUGUGCACUUUAAUUUCUUAUCUUUGUAUUUUCUCUUUAUUCCUGUGAUAUUUUUAAAUCAGAAUCAGAGACGAUUGAAAGUAACAAAAUACAAAAAACAAUAUAUAAAAAAAUAGUAAAGAAUACAAAAGGCAUUACUCUAUGCUGAAGCAAUUACUUUGGUUACUAUCCAAAUGAAGUCUUCCUCGCUUUAGUUUAUCAGUCCCCAGUUCCCCCCUUCACGUGUAGACGAAAAUAGAAAAAAAGUUAAAAGAGAACAAUAAAGUAUUAGAUAGCCAUUAAUUUGUGCAGCAUGUAUGUUCAUCAAGAUACACACAGAGUACUGUGGGGGAAUUAGAAGGCUACUCAUCUUUUUUGUGCAUGCAUAUUUAUAUAAAUACAUACGGAGUAUUAUAACAAUGUUCUCGAGGCAGAACCUUCUCAAUCAGAAACCAUUUGUGACCAUGAACAUGUCUAAUACAACAUUCUUAGGGUAGAACCUUGUAAGUCAAAAACCCAAUGAUCUUUUUGUUUGUGGGCUGUACCAUCAUGAAUUCCACCAUAGAAUUUCUAUAUAAUAACAACCAUUAGUAAUCGUUAGGCUCUUGUUAUUACUUAUUUUUUUGGGACUCAUAUAAACAAACAAAAAAAAAAAAAAAUAUAAAAAGAUUUAAAAAUAUGGAAGAAAAUAAUAUAUAUUUAUAUAUUAUUUUCUUCCAAUAUAUAUAAGGGUUGAAAUUGACCAAUCCAAUACAACAAUAUAUAUUAUUUUCUUCCAAUAUAUUUAUAUAUUAUUUUCUUCUAAUCCAAAACCAAAGAUCAAACUGGAAAAGACGCGUGAAUAUAAGGGUUGAAAUUGAUCAAAUUAGAGGCUUACGACAAGCACCUACAUAUUAGUUAUAGGUAUUCUUUACACCUCAACUUAUGAAAAUAGAUGCUUACUAUCAUAAAAAAAAAAAAAAACAUAAUAUGUAUCAGUCUCAACGGCUCUAAUAAAUAUCUAAUAUUUAAGAGAGUAUCGACCAUGAACAUUUUAGGAACAAUGUUUUAAUGCAAUAGGAAUCUCAUUAUUAUAACAAUAUUAUAAUUUCCGUAAAGAAUCUUUGUCCAAUGAACUUUAUAUAUACUCUAAAUUCAUAAAUCAAAUAUUAAAUAUAAAUUAAACUUUUAUUAAUAAUAAAUAUAUAUUUACAUUAAUAUAAUAAUAUCACAUGUAACCAACUGAUUGGUCGGAAGAAUUAAACUAAAAGACACCGCUAACAUCGGUGACUUUACAAAUGAUGAAAGUACAAAAUAAUUGUUCUCUUAUUCUUGUACUACUAAAUUACAAACAAAUAAACUAGUGUUGCUACAUCGUUUAUGAUCCUAUUAGUCAUUAACUAUUAUGAAAAUAAUGUUUUCUUUCUGAUUUAUUAGAUGAGUACUGUUUAUAAUAUAAUAAAUUAUUAUAAAAAAUUUAACUUCUCUGAAAGAAGUUAUUUAAACCCUUUUUUAUAAAUGCAUUUAUAAAAAAGAUUAUGCAAAAGUUUCUGGUCCUAGCCAUUUUAACCCGUCGAUGUAUCUAUGUAAUAAGGUUUAUUGAGUACUUUUACCUUAAACAUGAUAAGAUAUUAAAGGAAUAUUUUGUGUGGAAACCACUUGCAUGCAGCACACACUUCCGCAUGACUUGGAUUUUUUCCCUCAGUGGCCUGAGUACGGACUGUCAUUAUAGUUGAAGUGCUCGUCAGUUUCAAUAUUUUUGGAUUGUUUUUCUCAUCUUUUUCUUAAUUUCCUUGAUGUCUUAAUUUGGGCUUUUUUAUUUGAAUCUUCUUAGUUCUUAGUGAAGUUUAAAGGAAGAAUAUGUAAUGGCUUUUUCUUUAAUUACUCUUUACUCUUUUUUUUUUCUUUUUUUUUUUGAAAUUAUAGCCCCCAGAGAGUGGACACCCUCGUUUGAGUUAUGGGACUUGUAUUGUUUCAUGGUAUCAAUUAUCACUACUUUAUAUAUGUUUUUCAUGCAUCUGUUUUAAUGAGACCAUCCACACCUAUAGAAAAUAAUUUUCUUAACAAUUAGCUAAUAAAUUUAAAUAUCACUGCCUAAUCAAUGAGUUUAUGAGCAUACAAGUUUGCAAGGAUUGUGCCUCUUGUCAUCGUUGCAACUGCUUAAUUUCCUUGUGUUUUGGGGUGCUUGGUGAUUGAAUACCACAAGGCCCUCGUACACUGCUUAAGCCAACGUGUUUCGCAUGAUCCACUGAUAAGUUUGAUGCUGUAUUUUGUUUCCUUUACUCCUUUUGUUUUCUUGUCUUUUGAAAAUUCUGCAACUGGCCCCCUUUUUCGCAGCCUUUCUUUGCUUCCUUCUCCAGCUUUGGCUUGGUGUUUAAUGUAUCCCAAGUUCUCAAAACAAGAAAAUUUAAAUAUCAUCAACAACCAGUAAAUAACCCAUUAACAAGUGACUUAACAACACCUGCUUUCCUGACCCACUAAUUAAUUAAUCAUUUAAGUACAAUUUUGAGAUUUUAAUUGCUCCUGAUCUUCCUGUUUAAGUAUUAGCUGAUUCCUUUUCUUUUUCUUUUUUUCACCUCGUUUGUGCACUUUUUCUUGUCAUUCUCUUUUUAUCUUUCUUCUUUGUUAUUUUUAUGUUUCGCAACAAGAGACAAUUUCAAGGAACAAGAUACAAAUAAUAGUAAAGAAACCAAAAGGCAUUAAUGCAUGCAGAAUCAAUUACUUUGGUUGCUUUCCAAAAGAAAUCUUCCUCUUUUGUCGCUAUCCAAUAGCCCAUCAAUCCCUGUUUCCCCACCUUGACGUAGUGAGAUGAUAUCACUCCUUUGAAUUUUGAAGAUAACUUCCGGAAGAGGAAAACAACAAAGCUGUUGAAGAGAACAAAGCAUUAGAUUGCCAGUUGUUGAUAAUCUCUCUUUUGACAACACAGUUGUGAAUUACAAGGUGUUUUAUCUUUUUUCUGCAUGUACAUUUAUAUAUAAGAACACAAGAGUAGUGGCACAUGCACCCUCACCAAGCAAAGCACAGCAGAAGUACUACUGCUAUGUCGAAACUAAUGGCUUCUGAAUUGUCAGUAAUACUCAUUAGUAGACUUCUUCUCUUCGUCUCUCUUCUUCUAUGGCAACUUGGCACUGGCACUACUUUCAAUAUUGGAACGAAAGCUGCUGCUGAUAAUGGCGAUAACAGUACUACAAAUAAUUGUAUCCUUACAGGUUCUGAAGGUACGAAUUAAUCGAUCUCCUAUUCUUUCGAAGAUGCUGAAUAUAUGUUUAGUUGUUAUCUAGAAUUGAACCCCACCAAGCUUUAAUUACUAAUUGACGUAGGAUAGAGUUAAAGCAUGGGGGUAGAAGAUUAAAAAGUUUCUUUGAAUUAAGUUGAUUGAGAAGAUAAUAUAAAAUUAAAGAGAGAUAUAAAUCUAAAAUUUUAUUUGAUGAUUUAAAUUGUUAAGUUAAGAUAGUUAUUUUAAUAUGAUAUCAGAGACUAUUUAGCAUAGCUUUUAAAAAUAUUUUCAUUAAAUUAUAAACCCUCAUUUCAUAUAAACUUUUAGAUUGAAAUCAUUAUUUAGAACACUCAAUUCAAAUUUAUGUGGUCCUCAAAUUUUCUUUUCUUGUUCAAUUUAUUCCAUUUAUGUAUUAAUGUAGAUUAAGUAUUUUCAUCUUGAACAUGUGAAUAUCUUGUUGCGAUUUAAUCAAAAGAACUUUUGUGUGUUGAAACCUUUGGCAGAAAAUGCUCUUCGACUCCUUUUCAGCAGUUUGCAGACCACUGGAGAGGGUGCGAAGAUUAAAUGUUCCUGUCAUAACAGCAAUGAAGCUUGUUCCAUCACUGAAAUGUAUGUCCUAGACUUGAUUAUAAAAUCAGUUCGUUAUUAACAAAAUCAAGCAAUAGAAGGAGAAAUUAAGAGAAAGUUUGCAUGAAACCUAUAAAAAAAUAUUCCUCUUUUUGUGAAUCACUUUAAUUUCUAUGUCAGAAAUUUGGCAGGCAAAAAUUUAGACGGACAGAUUUCCUCUUCAAUAGGUGACUUUGAGAACUUGAAAAUACUGUAAGUACCAUCACUCCAUCUCAUUGCAUGACUUGUUCAUAUAAUACUGUGCCGUGUGCUGUGCUUGUUGAGCUAAACACCUACAGUGGUCACGAUGAUGGAAAUUGAGGUUUGAUGAUAUUGCCAUAACAGUAAUCUAUCCAACAAUCUGCUUACUGGUGUGAUUCCUUCCUCGCUAGGGAAAUUACAGCGUCUCGAAAAAUUGUAUGUUAAAGCUAUGAUUCGUGAUUCUAUAUAUAUAUAUAUAAAUGAUGGCAUAGGCUCUGCUUAAUUCUAACGGUAAAAUGCCUUUGUGCAAAAAUCAGGGACCUUGCAAACAAUCUAUUGACCGGGUCGAUACCUGAUAACCUGACACCGUUGCAGAGUCUGAAAUCCCUGUAAGUCUGUCCCAGUUGCUUCCAGUUUUAGGAUUUAAUCCUUUUUUUUCUCACAAAACAAGAAACAAACAAAGAAAAUGCAUUUCUAAGAGUACAAUUUCUUUGUGCAAAAACCAGGAACCUUACAAGCAAUGCGUUGACCGGUUCCAUUCCUGCGAGCCUGACAAAUUUACGUAAUCUGACAGUACUGUAAGUACUUCAUAAGAAAACUUUUACCUUCCAUUCCUUUUCUUUUUAAUGUGAUCGUGAUAGAGUUGAGUCAAGAGAGAACAAUUUUUUUUUUUUUUUUGGUUACAGAAAAAUAAAAAUAUUAACAUCAAUUGAACUAUAACACUUUGGCAAUAAAAUAUAUUAGAAAAAGUGUACGUAGUUCAGUCCAAUCAUAUAACUAAUAAAUUAUAUACAACUUAUAAUAAAAUGGCUGUGAGAUUCAAUAAUUUGCGUCGACUCAUAAUGAGGCAGAAUCGUGCAAGAAAGCUGCAAAUCAUUGUUCCAUAGUUCAAUUUAAUUUAAAUGGUGCUUGGCUUCGUCUUUUUAUCUUUAAGCUGUAAAAGAAUAUUUGUAAAAUUGCUUUUGGUCAUAAUAAACAAUAUAAAACAAAUUAUGCAAUAAAAUCCUCCCUUUAAAGAAGCAUAGGAGCAUGCUUAGAAUGAUUUAAGAGAUAAAGAUACUCUUAUAAAAUUAUGUUAAGCAUUAGACAAACUUAUUCUCCACACAAAUGAAAAGCUAAUCCAAGAUAUACCUGUUUGUUUUUCAAUGGCAUUUGUAUUGUCCCUUCUCAUAUAAAAAUCAGAUAUAUGGACAAUUUUCAUGGAUCCUAUGUGCAUGUAAGAAAGAGGUAUACAACAACCACCAAUUUCUCUUGCAAGAUUACUUGAUAUAGAGUGUAUUGUCUCUAAAGAUAGUGAAGAAAUAUAACUUUGCUACAUCAUAUAUAAUUUUGCUAAUCAUUUCAAACACUGCGCUAAAAAGUUCUAUUGACUGUUUUAUUACCAAUAUUCAUAAAAGUACAUAAUUCAAUCCGUUGAAAUUAACUGAAGGUCUUUUUCUUCUGGUAUAUAUGUGUGAGUGUGGUGACUUCAACUGAACAACAUUCUAGCCUCUAAUGAUCAUAACCAUGCUAAGAAUUUUGAACUAUGCUCUAAGAAGUUCCAUUGAAUGUUCUAAUAAGAAAGUUUAUUUAAUUCAGUCAAUUGCAAUUUACUGAAAGUCUUUCUCUUCUUGGAACCCGUGAUGAUUGCACCCGAACAGCAUGCUUUCCGACAACAAUCUUGAUGGUGAAAUCCCUCAGAACCUGACUGGUUUACAAUCGCUUGGCUAUUUGUAAGUCAAUGCUAUCUAUCUCUGUAUGCUACCUUUGCUUUUAUAUCUCUACUCUUGGUUUUACAUGUAUUUGUGUGUGUGUGUGUGUAUCCUCACUCGUAUAUAUGUCCUGAAAAUCAGGUAUCUUCAAAGCAAUAAAUUGACAGGCCGUAUACCAGACAGCAUAAGUGAUUGCAAAAAAUUGGUAGAGAUGUAAGUCUUUCUCCAUAUAGCCGAACAUCUACUCCUUUUCUUGUGUGGUGAAAAUUAAGUAGAGCUGGUAAUUAAUGGAUAGAUAGCAACUGUACAUAAGAAGUCUUUCAAAUUAAAUACAUAAAAAAAAAAAAAAAAAACAUUGAUUACACAGAAUCAAUGUUAUGUGUAAAAUCUCAGAUGACACUUUUUACGAUGGUUAAAUACGAGGCGUUCAUUGGCCAAAACAACGUUUGAUGCAGUUAAUUUGUCCGUUAGAUUUAGUUGUUGUUUUGUUUUUCUGUGUUCUCACCAAGUGGUGAUCAUUCCACUUAACAUUUUGGGUUAUAAAUAUGAGACGUUCGGUUUGAAUAUCAACUAGUUAGUUACUAAAAAGUUUGUUUUGAUCUUUAAGAUUAUAGUGUGAAUUAUAUCAACUUAAAUAUUUAAAUGAGAUUCAAAUGAUGGUUUUAUAAUAAUUUUUUAACACCCUCUCUCCCUCAAAUAAAAACAUUUUGAGACUUGAGAUUUUCACCGUCUUAUUAACCAAAUAUUCUUCCUUCACUAUAAAAUUAAACCAAUGAAGGUAAAGUGCAGCGCGUCACUGCCACUUUGUUAAAAAACAACUGGCAUGCACGUGAUGAGCGUGCGUGCCCGUGUGCACAUAUAACACAAGUGGGUGGACUACUCUCUUAAAAAAAAACCAUAUCUUUAUCAUUGAAUCUCAACAAUCCUUUAAUAUAAUUAGUAUAUACUCUAAUAACUUAAUGUUUGUGGAAUGCUAACAAUUUAACUUUUUACUUUGUAAGAAAAACAUAUUUUUUUAGUACAAUCAUGAAUCUACAAUUAGCUUCUAAAUCGAAUAUUUGUGCAUCGUCAUGUCGCAGCUCUCUUCGGUUCAACAGCCUGAGUGGUACUAUACCCAGAACUUUGGGCACACUCUCCAACCUAACAAUUCUGUAAGGAACUUCAGAACCAGUUAUUAAGUUACAUGAAUAUACAUGGUUUCAACAAUGUUUACUGCUGUUAUCAUUCAAACAUGAUUAUUUUUUCAUUGCACAUACACAUUGUGUCAUUCAAUGUGCAGGGAUCUUUAUAGUAACUCGUUGUCAGGCCAUAUUCCUGUCGAACUGGGAAACCUGUCUUCCCUCCAUACUUUGUAUGAAGAAUACACUCACCGCUUCUUUUAUUUUCUCUUCCAAGUGUACUAUAAGUCACCUACUUAUUCCUCUGUUUCCCUUUGUAAAAAGGUAUCUGGAUGACAAUGAUCUCGAGGGAAACCUUCCUAAGGAACUUGAGAAUUUGGUCAAACUUCAAUUCCUGUAAGUAUCUUUCUUUUUAUUUUUAACAAUGGGGAAGUCGAAUUGGUCAGUCAUCAAUGCCAGUCAUCCUAAGGGAGGAAUGGUAUAGCAUGCAAGGUUCAAUCCUCCUCUAGAGAGUUUGAGUUUAAAAAUGCCUCAUUGUCAAGAUAUAAUACGUUGUCAUAUCUUUGGCCCUAAUUUCUUCCAGCUACUUGUCAUCCAACAAGUUUAACGGAAGUAUUCCUGAGACAUAUGCAAAACUUACCAAAAUGAAAGACUUGUAAGUUUCUUCCUUGAUAUUUUUUUUCGUGUAUCAUUGUAAUGUAUUUAAUUCUACUAUGUGUUGUCAUUAAUUAAAAGAAGGCUUUUGUGUCAAUGCAGUGUAGUUGGUGGAAACUAUUUGUCUGGUAAGAUACCUAAUUAUUUUGGAAAAUGGGGCAGUCUCACCAAACUGUAAGUGUUCUAUAAUGAGUGUUUGUUUUUUUUUUUUCUCAUUAUUCUUUAAUAUGAUAUGAUCUAUAGAGGAGUUAAUUAAAUUUAUCAAAGCUAACCAAUUCGUUUUAGCUGACCAUGUUAUUAUGUAAUUGUCAGGGAUCUUAUAGGAAAUAAUUUUGAAGGGAAUCUGCCUGCGGAAACUUUUAGUCUGCAAAAAUUGAAGUUCUUGUAUGUGCAACCCUGUGAUGCCAUGCAUUUUAUUUUCUUAUUAAUGAACUCUAAAGUCUUGUUCGAUGAUUCCAGGUUGGUCAGUGACGUAAGUAAUCCUGGAAUAUCUUUCCCAAAACAUGAAGUAAUAUCUGGAAGUUUGACUAAAGUGUGAGUAUUGUUUCUCUCCAUAUAGUGUUAAUUGCUGGUUAUCCAUCAUGGAAGCUAAAGUCUGGCGUUAGAAGCUAUCAUAGGAUCAAAACUAGAGAUAUUAAAUAGGAGAUUAAUUCUAGGAUCAAAACUUAAGAAGGACGGGGUGGCAUUUAGGAAGGUGAGGGCUAGUUUCUUUUUAUUUAGCUAGAUCAAGGCCUAUAUAUUGCUCAUCCUGAUAAAUGAAAACUAAAUCUUCAAAUAUGAUUCCCUUACUUCUUCAAUUGUUUAUACAGGGUUCUGAGGAAUUGCGAUAUUAGUGGCCAAAUACCUGAAUACAUUGGCCGAUGGCCUCAGUUAAUAUAUCUGUACGUUCUCAAAUAUUUAUUCCACUUUAGGUAGUUUAACUUCUUAUUCAUCUAAGGCUACUACUUUUGGUAUUGCGGUGCAACCACCGCAGCACCGCACUUAAUGUUGCGCCAGUGCACAAGAAAUUGCUUAAAAUCUUUGGUAUUUUGGCUCCCUGCACUUAUUCGCAACUCUUGCUUAUUCUUUCAAACUUCAGUAUAAAAUUCAAUAUGAUAUUAUCUAUGUUGAGUGCUAUAGAACCAAUAUUCGAUGUGUUUUGCUUUUGUCUUGCAGUGACCUGAGUUUCAACAACUUAACUGGUGGCAUUCCCGAUUCAUUUCAGAACAUUAGUUACAAGUUGUAUGUGUUCUUCAAGCAUUAGACGUUUCUGUUUAUUUUUAUGAUAAUGUACAGCUGGCAGACCAAUGUUGCUAACGGGUUGUUGUUUCCCGCGUAGAUUUCUAACAAACAACUUGCUUGAUGAGCUUCCGUCCUGGAUCACUAGCAAGCAAAAUCGAUCUUCCUAUCCUGAAACGUAAGACAGUACUUAGAUUGACAACAAAUUUCCUUAGUAUAACUUACUGCUAUGGAAUUUUACUUUACUUACUCUUGGCGUGAAGCAUGAUUCAAUAGUGCAAGAGUAGAUUGGCAAUAGUGUACAUAUUUUUUAUUUGUUCAAUCAUUCAUAUAUAUUUAACUAUAUUAUUAUAGUGUAUUUUUUUCUGUUAAGCCAUGUUCUUAAUGGCUAUAAUAGGUGCUUAAUAAAUCACUUGUAAAUCAUUAAAAAACUGUAUUAUUAUAGUUAUUAUAAUUAUAUUUAUUUGUAAUGUUUGUAUUGUAUUUAAACAGGAAUAGCAAUAGCAAUAAAUCAUAUCCAUCAAAAUUGCUCAACCUACAUAGAGUUAGUUGUUAGGCUCAACAAUUACAUAAUAUUAAGUUAUUAUGUGAUAUCCCUGAAAUAGUUUUGUGAUAAUAUUCUCAAAUAAAAACUCUUUAAAUUUAAAACUUACACAUGUCUAGUACUACUUUGUGUUAAAGUAUUAAUUUAAGUUAGAUUUAAAUGAAUUUAUGAUUGUUAUCAAAGUAUCAUCUCAACACAAAAUUUUAAGUUAUUCGAUAAGGUUUCAGAAUAUGAUUUGUAUUAUUUUCUAGUACAAUUUUUUCUUAGAAAUAUAUUUUUUGAACUUGAAACUUGCACAAGUUUAUCACUAUUUUAUAUAUAAAAUUAGUUUUAAUUAGAAAGAAUAUGAUAAUUAGUUUCAAAUUGAUGAUCAUUUAAUCGGCAAUUCUUUAAUAUUAUAUUAAAAAACUAUUUUAAUUCAAAACUUUAAACCAUUAAAUAAAAUAUCUGGAAUGAUUUUAUAUUAACUCUCUAACACGGAAUGUGUUAAAAUAUUAAGAUUUUAUUAAAUAAUUCAUAGUAUAUAAUCAACAAAGGAUUUUAAAGAAUAUAUAUAUAUAUGAGUGCCUGCAUUACGAAUGUGUUGUUUGUAAAAUGGUAAUUUCUCCUUCUCCUUGACUAAAUUGUUUCUUUUCCACCUCAACAUCGUGUUGAAAUAUGAAGCAUUUUAGAGAGUACGUAAUUUUAUUUUAUUUUAUUUUUUAUAAUCGUGGAUUUUAUUAAAAACAUGGCUAUAGAGAGUACGUAAUUAAAAUUAUAUAAGCUUCAUGUUUAUCAAUUGUUAUUUUGCAGGUAUCUUUCAUACAAUAACUUCAAAGGGAACUGUACAAAUUCAACAUGCUGGGGACCGGAACAAGUACACAUGUAAGGGGACAGAGCAGGCUCCUGUUCAUCUGGCUUUCUGUGACACUGUUAUUUACUUUCGUAAAUCAGUUUUGAAAGUUUCACACUGAUUUUUUUUUUUUUUUUUAUGAUCCAUGAUCUUGGUGCUUUUUCAGUCAUCCGACUAGGUAUGUGGUAUCAUCAUUUUCUACAACAAGAGUAAUCAUGAAGUAUUUCUAACAAAAAUUUCUCUGUUAAUUUCUUAGAUCUUUCAUAGAUAAGAUGAUGCAGAAGGAAACAUGUCGUCGAAAGCGUAUGUUCAUUCUUCUGAUAGCUAAAUGAAGUUGUUUUGCAUAUACUGUAUAUCAAAUUGGAAUUAGUUAUUUAAACCUUCUUCUUCUUUCUUUACACAGAUAGAAAGCUACAAUCCUUAGUCAUUAGACAAACUGUCUAGGAGUUAGCAUUAGUACAUGAACUAGAUUGGCCACCAUGGCCAAAGUUGAGGAGCUAUUUUGGUCUCUUUAAAAGGGCAUUUUCUAGUCUCAAACUCUCUAAAGAGAGGGUUUGAACAUAACACUUCCUUGCAAGUAGAAGGAAAUCACUAAAAUUAGACAAGAGGUCUAUUGAUGAAAUUCUCAUCUAACUUAAUCAUUGAAAAUAAUAUGGAGAGAAUUGUUUCUACUGAAUUCUAUCCACUUUAUGAGAACAAUCAUCUUUCUACUGAAAAUAAGUUUUCUCGCAGACAAAUCCUUGUUUAUAAAUUGUGGUGGUGAGGAGGUAACCGUGGGAAAGGCUCAUUAUCAUAACGAUACCUCAACAUCAAAUUUUUUUCAAAGUCCAAACGACGAUUGGGCUUAUAGCUAUUCUGGAGACUACUUUUGGGCCAGAAUCAAUGACAGUACUUUAGUAAGAAACUCGACAUGUGAAGUUUCCAGUCCCGAGGCAAAAUUAGAUAACAAUUUCCGCCUUGCUCCUGUCUCUCUAACGUAUUAUGGGCUUUGCUUGAGUAAUGGCAAGUACCAUGUGACACUUCAUUUUGCUGAAACAUUAUACUCGAAGGGAGAAGAUAACAGCAGAGUAGGGAAACGUGUGUUCGAUGUGUAUAUUCAGGUAAGUAUUUCACUUUUCAGAAUGCCAAUUUAUGUAGUAAUAUCACACUCUUAAGGAACUCUUGAUGGCAGAAAGAGAGAGUGGAGAAAGACCUCAACAUAAAGGAAGCUCUUGGAGGACAAAAUGAAGAACUAAAGCGACAAUACACCACCAAAAUACGUGAUGGUUCGUUGGAGAUCCAUUUCUUCUGGACUGGCAAAGGAUCUCUGUACAAUCCACCUGCUAUCAAUGGACCUCUCAUAUCAGCUAUUUCAGUCACCCGUGGUAGGAAAGGAAGCAACACUUACCCUUUUCUGAUAAAACCCAGAAUUCUGUUACUCUGAGAAUAAAUUAUUGCUUGCAUUUUACAAGCUGCUGUUUUUUGUUUCCAAAGUUCCCAGAAAACUACGUCCUUGGGAAAUUGCGGUGAUUGCAGUAAGCUGUAUUUUAUUUCUGCUGCUGCUGCUGGCUUUCAUGUGGAGAAUGGGCUGGAUAGGAGACAGAGAAUUACGGGGUAAACACUAAGAGAAGAAGAUUUAUGAACAUAAUCUGUUAUCUAUCUGAAUAAUUCUUAAGAUAAUUGUGGUUUAAUUCAUUUGUUAUUGGAAUAGAAACAAAACUGAAGAUCGGAGGAAAACCUUUCACCCUUAAACAGAUCGUUGAUGCAACUGGAAAUUUUAGCCCCGAGAACGAGCUUGGUAGGGGGCGUUCUGGGAUAGUAUACAAGGUUAAAAAAAUUUCUUGCUCAUAAAAUUUUGUCUUUAAAGGGAUAAUUUUUUUAUUUUCUUUGAUUUCUCUUCGUUUCUUCAUGUGGAGAAUGCAGGCUGACCUGCCAAAUCUGACAGUAGCAGUGAAGAAGCUAGACCCAAAGUCAAAAGCAGUUGAUGAAAUAGCAAGCGAAGUUUAUGCUAAGAAGGCCUUGGACUUGAAACAUGACAACGUUGUUACAUUGCUUGCUAGUUAUUCCAAAAGGCACCUGCAUUUGCUCAUCUACGAAUACAUGAAACAUGGCUCACUUGGACAAGUUUUAUUUGGUAUUUUUUUUUUUAUCUCAGUUUCAAUCCCAGCGUUGAUAACCAUGUUGCUUCUGUUAUGUAGCUAGGAUUUAUUUGAUAUGUUUCAUUUCAUGAAAGAAUAUUAUAAAACCAUAGAUGAGGUAUCCUUUUUUCAUGAUAUUUUACGUUUCUGUGUCUAAAUUUUUUAAUUAACCUUUUGUAUUGUUUUGUAUUCAAAUUUUAUUCUCUCUAUACAACAGUUACUCACGAUUGUUGUUCAUCUUUUGAGAUUGUAAGUGGUUUAGCUUCCACCUUCAUAAAACUCUUGGAACUUUGAAAGGCUUCACUGCUCUGUGUGUGUGUGUGUGUGUGUGUGUGUUGAGUUUGAUUUUCAAAAUCUACAACGUGAGAGGAUAUUGACUAGUGCCAUGGGGAUUUGCAGGUACAAAUUCUACCGAGCAACUCGAUUCGCCGGAAAGAUCUACAAUCUGCCAGGGUAUAGCGAAGGCUUUGAAGAAUCUACUUAGAUGGAAUCCACAAACAAUUCAAAAAAGCACAGGUAAUGAUUUAGUUGUUUAUAUGUGGAUCAAUCAAAACAAUUUCAAUGAAGAACAUGACAUAACUGAAUUGAAGCCAUUUUUUGUCCUCACACAAAAUUUAACUUAUAUCGCUAUAUGUGUGUGUGAGAGAUUGAGUAUUGACUUGGUUAUUUGCAGAUUCAAAUCCUAAAGUGCAACUUGAUUGGCAAAAAAGAUUUAAUAUCUGCAGGGGAAUAGCAAAGGGUUUGAAGUAUCUACAUGAAAGGAAGCCACAAAUAAUUCACCGAAACAUUAAAUCCACUAAUAUUCUGCUUGAUGCAAGUUUGAAUCCCAAAAUAUCAGAUUUUGGAUUGGCAAAGCUUUACGAGGAGGGAAAUCCAUACAUUGCAGUUGGAGCAGGAAAACAACUGUAAGUAUAAAAUUAUCUUACAAUUUUUUUUUCCUCUAUGAAGUUUAAUUCUGAAUACUGGAAAGGUGCCGAUCAUAGUAAUGCACCUUUUCAUACUGUUAUUAAAGAUGUCUCGGGUCGGGUUUUAAAGUAAAUAUGAUAGGAGUUAAUUCGGUCAAAUCCAAUUAACUUAGCAGACUAACUCACGACUAACUCAGUCAAAACUUCAUUUGAUUUUUUUUUAGAAAAAAUAUAGUUUUAACUUUAAAAAAAACACUUAAAACAACUCCAUUUUAAAUUGAACAUUGGUUAACCACCUAAUUUAUGAUCCCGGACCGGGUUUAAUAACUUUGCCUUUUCGGCUGAUAGUUGACACCAGGCUGCUUAGAGAAAGAAAUCGGGUUCCCUAUUUAAUCUAUCAUUUCUUUGCAAUUUCAGUUCAUACAUGGCACCAGAAUAUGCAACCCGAAGAGCCAUGACUGUCAAGGUCGAUGUCUUCAGUUUUGGGAUCCUUCUUCUUGAAAUCGUUAGUGGGAAAAAUAAUGCAGAUUCUACUGGGGACGAAAACUCUGUUUUUCUUCUAGAUACGGUAAGAGCUAGAUACAGUUUUUCUUUAAUUAAACUUUUUGUCAAAAUAACAAAAAUUAAGUACCCGCUUCAAUGCUUUAUCUUAAAAAAUGGAAAAAGAAGAAUCUACCAUUGAUAUUUUCCGGUCUCAUAGCAACCAUCAUCCAAUUGAUGUAUUCAAGAAACUCCUAAUUUAGGAUUGGAUGUUUCAGUAUUAUUAGUAUCCAUCGAUCGGACAUUAAUAGGGAGUAAAAGCAUGUAGAUAUGAUGCUCUUUUGAGGACUUAUUGCUUAUAGGUUCUCACAUAAAUGCAGGCCAGUAAGUUGCAUGCGAAGCAAGAACUUGAACAGCUAGUUUACACAAGGUUGGACACUAGUAGUGAAAGCGGACAAGCAAGCAUUGCCUUGAACCUGGCAAUAAUGUGCACCGAUCAAUCACCUUCUCUCAGGCCUACAAUGUCUCAGGUUGUGGCUGUACUUGAACGUUCAAAAACCAUUGAGGAUAUUUCUAAAGAGAUCAAUACCUCGGCAUGAUUUGGCGUCUGUCCUGCGUUACCGGAUGGUCGAUAUAGCUUGUGGCUGUGUGUUUUGUUUAGUUUCUCUACAUUUAUGGAUAGUUAUCUCCUUGGUUUCUUUUCCUUGAUGUCCUUGUGUUUUUCAAAGUGAUCAAUACCUUGGAACGAUUUGCAGUCUGUCCUGCAAGACCUGAUGGUCGAUAUAGCUUGCGAUUGUGUGGUUUGUCAAUUUCUCUAUAUUUAUGGAUAUUUAUCUCAUUGUUUUCUUUUAUUCCUUGAUGUCCUUGUCUUUUUUAUUGGAAUCUUCUUGGAAAAUAUUGGAGUAAAAAAACACUCCCUCUGGUACCAUAAGAGAGUCCUCUUGUUUUUUUAGAUGCCCCAAAAUGUACGUCUUUUGCCAAAAAAAUCAAAAAAUUAAGAAAAGGUAUAUGCCAAGAAUAGUAGACUUUUCUUUACAGAUUCCAAUGCACAAAGCUGGCUCUUGUUUUCACCAAGUUUUUGGAUGUGUGUUUUCUUAACUUAUUUGAGAGAGACAACAAAAUAAAAUCAAAUACAUCAAUUUAGUCAUCCAAAGGACACAAUAUUGCAAAAAUAGAAAAUUAUUUAGUUAAUUCCCUUAUUCUUGAAUAUCUACAAGGAACAUCAAGAAAAAUAACUUUGAAGGAAUCUACCUUGGUGACAAGUCUAAAAUGGAUGUUGUGGAUACAUCAACCAUGACUUGGGUCAUUUUUAGUGGUGGAAAAUAGAAAAUUAUUUAUUUAAUUCUUGAAUAUCUACAAGGAACAUCAAGAAAAAUAAUUUUAAAGGGAAUCUACCUUCUUGACAAGUCUAAAAUAGAUGUUGUGGGAUCCAUCAACCAUGACUUAGGUCAUUUUUAGUGGUGGAAAAUAGAAAAUUAUUUAGUUAAUUCCCUUAUUCUUGAAUAUCUACAAGGAACAUCAAGAAACAUAAUUUUGAAGGCUAGAUGGAAAAUAGAAAAUUAUUUAGUUAAUUCCCUUAUUUUUGAAUAUCUACAAGGAACAUCAAGAAAAAUAAUUUUGAAGGGAAUUUAUCUUCUUGACAAGUCUAAAAUAAAUGUUGUGGAAUCCAUCAAACAUGACUUAGGUCAUUUUUAGUGGUGGCCCCAUUAUUUGUCUUCUUCUUUUUUAUUUUCCCACUAUUUUUUCCCUAUAAUUGCCCCACUUCAGCUAUCUGCCAAAAAAGAGAAAGUGGCUUUAACAAAGCAUCUAUACCUCAGCCCUUUUAUAUUAGCAAUGAUGACCCCAAAAUUAUUCUAAUCUCCAAUGCUUGGACUAUGGUAUGGCUUCUCUCAGUAGUUCUUUACAGUUCUUUGGUCACAGCUAAACGAACUCCGCCACUUGCAGCAAGGUGAAUUUUUCUUUUUCUUGCUCUCAUGACCAUCUUUGUCUUUAUGGUUCAGGCUAUUUGAGUAUGCUUUCACUUCUAGCGUUUGUUCUUUGAUUGAUAAACUUUUUCUGUCCUUUCAGGAUUUAAAUUUCCGCCCUGAAUAUUCAAGAUCUAUAAGCAGCCAUCGGUAAGAAUUUCUAACUCAAUUUCUCUUUUAAAGGCUGUUCAUUUGUUAUGUUGGGUUACGAGUGAUCAGAUAAGGUUUCCUGCGUUGAACCAUGGAGUCAAUUUGCCAACGUAGGUUGUUGCUGAAACUGGACGUGCCUUCCAUUUUUCUAAUCAAAUGUUUUUUUCAAGGACUAGAAAAUAGAAAUUCUAUGAUUUACUUGCAUGUAAUUGAUGAAAUGCUCGGAUUUCAGAAGGCUAAAGAUGGGAAUGAAGUUUAAAAUCUAUAUGGUCUGUAGGACGCUUUAGAUUGUAUCGCAUUCGUGUUUAUCAUUAUAGAUGACUAUGGAAUAAAAAAAAAAAGACUUUCUUCUACAGGUAAAAUACAAGAAGAUGGCAGUAGUAGUAGAUGCUAUGCUUCAAAGCCUGACACAACAAGUGUUCACAGCUCUGCAAGAACAUGCUAGAUUUGCACUUGACUUCAAAGAUCAGUUUGAAUUAAUGAAGACCAGGCUAGACCUUACAAAGGCCCUGCUUGCUGACACAGAGAACCUCAAGGAAAAGAAGAAAGUUGUCAAGGCCAUUUUGAUUAGCUUGAGAGACCUAAUUUACGAAGCUGACAACAUAAUGACAGAUUGCCUUGUUAGAGAUGAAUAUCAGAAAGAAGCAUCCUGCACCAGUUUGACACUUAAGAAGCCACUGUUCUGGUAUCAAACAGGCAAGAAGUUGAAGGACGUUAAUGCAAAACUGGGGGAGAUGGAGAAGUCACUAGGCGAGCAUUUAAAAUACCAGGACCAGAGCGACCAUGGAGAUAACACAGCCCAGAGUAUGAAAUACACAGCACAGGACUAUGUUCCGUCUGAGAUAAUUGGACUAGAAGAGGAUCUGAAAAGGUUAAAAGGCUGGAUUGGUGACACAAAAGAUGAACUUCUCCUAGUCGGCAUCGUCGGGAUGGGAGGCUUGGGUAAAACCACCUUUGCCCAGAAAAUUUUUAAUGAUCAACAUGUAGCUGGUCGUUAUGAUAACAUGAUUUGGGUGUCGGUUUCUCAAGUUUCAAGUGACAUGAGGAUCAUGAGGAGCAUGCUGGAACAAUUAGAAUCGCAUUGCUCUGUGUCUGAUGAAGCUCAAAUGUUGCACAAACUCAAUGAACUACUUAAAGGCAAGACAUGCCUCAUUGUUAUGGAUGAUGUAUGGAAAAUUAAUCAAGGAUGGUGGAAUCAAUUUUUCUCAGGAUUGCAGAGUGCAGUUGGAGAAAGCAGCUGCAUCAUAAUCACAACUCGAAACGAAGAAGUCUUAACUAGCAUGGGAGUUGACAAGUCACGGGUUCAUCGGCCAAAAUUGCUAACAGCCAAUGAUAGCUGGUUGCUGUUCAGCAAAUCUGCGUUUUCCAGGUGCAGGGAUAGAAAAUGCCCAGAUGCUCAAUUCGAAAGAGUUGGUAAAGAACUCUUGGAGAAAUGCGGGGGACUUCCACUGGCAAUCAAGGCAAUAGCAGCACUUUUGGCUCCAAGAUCAAAUUCAGUUCGCCAAUGGAAUGAAAUCAAUGAAAAUUUUCAUGAACUGACUGCCGGAAGAAAUUUUAACUCAGUGAUGGCGUCUCUUCAACUGAGCUAUGAUGAACUUCCAAUACAUUUAAAACAAUGUCUAUUGUGUUUCUCCGUUUAUCCUGAAGACUCCGAGAUACAAGCAGAGCAACUGGUCCAUUGGUGGGUUGCAGAGGGGCUAAUCCAGGGCAAGGGCUCAAAAACCGCAAAAGAAUUGGGUUUUCGUUACCUCUCUGAACUAGUCACUAGGUGCUUGGUUGAAGCUGUGAAUAGACGAGGAUAUGAUGGAAGAGUCUACUGUUGCAAGAUGCAUGACAUGGUGAGGGAACUGACCACUAGAAUAGCAGAGGAAGAGUCAUUUGGCAAAUUUGAUGAACAGGGCAAGCAGGAAAUGACUGCAAAUUCCCGUUGGUUGGGUUUUACAAGUGAAAUGAACCCAGAACCAUUGAAGAAAAGUUCAAAGCUCAGAGCCUUGCUGAUAAUGUCAACUAAUGAUCAAGUUGUGUUUGGUAGGCAUUUUGGGUUGCUUGGUUCUCUCAGAGUGUUGGAUUUCUCCCUGACUAAGUUGGAGAAGAUUUCUACAGAGGAACUCGUGGAAUGGAUUUCCUCUCUUAAACGCUUGGCAUAUUUGAAUCUAAGUGGUAUUGUAGGCCUUAAAGAAGUACCAUAUUCGUUCAGAAAGCUCCGCAACCUUCAGUUUUUGGUUUUUGCUGGACGCAAUGACCUAGGCAAAAUAGAUCAAAUCACUUCUUUGAAAAAGUUGGUGGUCUUGGAUUUAGGAUCUUGUUUCCAUUACCUACCUUCAGGAAUAGAAAGGCUCUCCUAUCUUCAAGAACUGUCUGGAUUCAAAGUGGCAUCCAGUAGCAGAUCAGCAGCAAGUUGCAAGUUUUGUGAUCUUGAAAAACUUGUCCACCUAAGAGUGCUGAGAAUGAGUAUCGGCAAGGACAGUGAAAUUACAGAAAAUGAAAGGGAGGUACUCUUGAAGCUCAAGAAGCUUAAGGUACUAGCCAUUGAUGCCCAAGAUUGUGAAGACAACAUUAUCUCUACGAUGCUUAAUAUCCUUUCACCUCCUCCAAGUCUCCAAGAGUUGUAUCUCAGGCGUUAUCACCAAGGUACUCUUCCUACAUGGAUCAAUCCUGAGAGGCUUUCUAAAUUGCAAUACAUUUGUAUUGAGAAUGGAGAAAUCAUUGACUUCCAAACAAGUCCUCUGUCUGUAGAUGGAAGAGAUUUUCCUUGGAACAUUGAAGGUCUAUGUUUUAAGGUCCUGCGAAAUUUAAAGCUGGACUGGAAAAACGUGGAAAAGGAUAUGCCUUCGUUACAAUAUGCAGAGGUUAGUGGUUGUCUGAAUUUGAUAAAUUUUCCACAUCCUCUCGACAAGCUGGCUACAUGGAGGAAGAGUGAAGAUUGAAGAGUUGGGAAUAGGAAAAAAAAAACAAAGGAUCAUCUUCUCUACAAAGCUUUUGAGGAUGUGGAAAAUGUACCGGUGUGGCAAGAACUCUGUGUGCUGGCUUGUUUGUUUGUUUGUUCAGUUUGGUUGUGAUUUGUAUUCAGCAUCAUAAAGACUAAGUGUUUAUUUUAAGAAAAUCCUUUAUUUUGCUGUAGAAUUUCAAUAACAUCAUAAUGGAAUGAGUAUUUUUAUUAUUGUUGUUUUGAUAUUCCAUAAUGGCAUAAUAUAUUACACUUGGGCACUUGGGAGUUCAUGCAAAUGUGAAAUAUUUCUCUCUUUAUGGGAUUGACAGUGAGAUGCCACAAUCUAUCUUCAAAAAAAAAUAUUUCUAAAGUGAAAGUUCAGCUAGAUGGAGACUGAUUAUGAUGAAAGAUAAAAUUCUACUAAAAAAAGUCUAAACCAUAAGAACUUUGUUUUGAAUUUAUAUUAUUAAAUACUAGUAAAAUGGUCUUAAACAAAACUAAAAAAUAAUAAAAAAGUUCUAAACUAAAUCGCGAACAGUAACUUUCACAUCUAAUAUGGAGGCCUUGACCUCACAUGGCUACUUACUUUAUCACUGGAACAGUGAAAACAUUUCCAAUUUAUCAUUGUUCUUCUUCUUUAUGUUAUAGUAUUAUAAACAAUGGUCCAGAAAAGCUUACAGUCUUGGUCAAAUUCCAAGUUCUAUUGGUAAGCUACCAAUGAGUUGAUUCUCUUUCAAAUCUCUAAUUAAACCAAGAAGCAUUAAAGACCAAACCAGAUAGAAUUGAAUAAAAAUGGAAGUCAUGGAAAGUUGAGAUGGCAUCCACGAAACUAUUUUCAGUAAAAAACUACAAUCCUGCUUACAUUCUGAGUAUUUUCAGUAAGGAAAGGGGCCUUAUUAACUAGAGUGCUUCAGAAUUCAAGAUAUAUUCCAAAAACAAAGGAAGAGCUCUGGUUGGGAUGAUACUUCCAGAGUGUCAAGGUAUUUCAGAUUCCCCAGUUCCGCGGGUAUGGCACCAAGUUGUUUCCCAGAGAGCUGUCUAUGCAAGAAUACAACUUAAUUGCUAAUCAAUUUACCUGGGUCAACAUGUGAUCGUUCCAAAAAGGGGACAUUUUCACUAAUCUAAGAACUAAAGAAACCUUUCUUUGUUAAUAAAGUGAAUCCAUGUGUAGCUAUCCUAGCAUGUGCCUACUACAUUAAUCGACACAAACUCUCAUUAUUUAAGGGCAAAAGACUCUCUUUCUAGUUCCCUCUCUUUCAUGUUGUCUUUGAAAACAAUACACAAAACAUUAUUAUCCACGUAUAAUCGUUAAAAUUAUAAUGUACUGGCUCAGCCAUGUUCUUCAGCCAUUCUUUUUUUUUUUUUUUUUGUUCUCCUUUGAUCAGCUCAUCAUGCACUGGCUCUGUUUAAUUAUAAUGUAUAAAACUGCAGGGUAUGCACCGAUAAGAAUAUUGAUACUUUAUGUAAAGGUUCAAGAUGCACCACCAGCUAUGAACUGACAGCUUCUGUUCCUAAUCUUUUAUUAUGUUUGGGGCCCUAAAAAAUGUAGCUCAUGCGUACGCAGAAUAGCAGCAAGAGGUGACCAUCUUAUGAGCUCUUCCUCGUGGGACGAGACAAGUUACCAAAAUUAUUAAAUCUGGACCAGAUUAAUUUGGUGGUUGAACCGGUUUAGAUAAAACAAAAGACCAGCUAAUGUAACAAUUCAGCAAAACUCGAUCAACCUGACAGGUUGACCCAUAACCCGGGUGAACCCGAAUGAGACCAAGUCAUUUUUUAAUGUGGUUUUUCUCCUAUACCUCUCCUUUUUUAUAUUUUUUUAGUUAGUUAUUAACACUUUUUAAAGUUUACUGUAUAUAAUACUAAAAAAUAUGAAAUAUAUUUAUGGAUUGUUUUUUAAUUUUUUAUAUUAAAUAUUAAAAUUUUAAAUAUUUUUUUUAAUUUUUUCAGGUUAAUCUGGAUUAACCCAUAAAAUCCGAGAUCCAAUUACUUAACCGGGUCAACCCGAGAGUAAGGUUUGAUAAUUAUGAUAAAAACUGUUCGUAAUAUAUGUCCAUGUAAUGUAUACGGUCAAUGUAUAGCCGGCGCCGGCGGGGGGUGCUAUCAAAUUAGAAUUAUAUUUAUGUUUUUUUUUAUUUCAAAGAAAUAAAUUAUAAAUUUAGAAUUCAAGCUUGCAGUUUUUUUCGUUUUAUUAAUCUUUUUUAUGAUUAUUUUUAUUGUUUUUUUUUUCUUCCGUCUGUAUCAUAUUGUUCGAGGAGGUUGCUACAUGUAUUGGACUAGUGUCUCAUUUAUUUUAUUUUUUUUAUUCAAAUAUAAUAAUUUUAUUAAUAUUGAUAUUUACCAAUAUUCGAUACUCGCCUAGUUCAAGCAUGUUACAUUAAGGAACAUUGAUUUAGUUUGUUCCUAUAGUUUUGGUUUAACAUAUGUGCAUGCUUUGUAGUAAGGUAAGCUUCUACUUGUUGCUUUUUUAUCAAUGAAAAUCUUCAUUUAUUAAAAAAAUACAUUUAUUAAGAAAUAUAAGGUUAUUUGUUUUGUUUAUUGAUGGUAGAAUAAUAUUUUUAUUUUCUUUUCAGUUUAUCUUAUAUAUAAUCUUUUUGUAUUUAGGUUAAACAUAUUUUUUUUAGAUUAUUAUGAUCACAUCAUGAAGUAUCAAUGAAACUCUAGUCUCUUCCCAUUUUAAUGUUAUAUUUCUCCUUAUUUCUUUGGAUUGUUUAACAACAUCAAUGAAGCUCAAAUAUUUAAAAAAAAAACCCAUAAAAAUCCAAGAACAGAGAAAUACUACCAGAAAAUUGAUAAAUAUAAACAGAAACACCAAUGGAAUGUUUUCGUCGGUAGAUUGCAAUAAAUUUUACCAACAAAAUAUUUCCUCGUUAUAUUCAUCGGUAAACACCGAUGGAACUAUUUUCUUAGUAUAUACCGAGAGAAUUACAGUGGGAAAAGAAGGAAUUAAAAAAAAUACAAUGAUGGUAUUAAAUAUCUUCGGUAAAAUCCAUCUGUAAACCUGUUGAUAAAUUGUUCCCUUCUCUCUGACAUUGUUCAUUGUGUUCAUUACAGAGGGUAUUAUCGACAGGUUAAUUCUAUCGGUAUAUUUCAGAAAGCUUUGGAACUAUUCACUUCUCAUUUGCAUUAUUCAUGUUGUUAAUUAUAUACGGAAUCACCAACGGAUUAAUUCCGUCAGUAUUUUCCAAGGAUUUCUAGAAUUAUUCACUUCUCAAUUGCACUAUUAAAUACUGUUAUUUACAAAUAGAAUCACCUAUAGAUUGAAAAGUCAUCGGUGAUAUUUAGGGGGGUUUUGAAAUUUUUUUAUUAAAUUGAAAAUUUAAAUUAUAUAUUACAGAUGUAAUCACCAACGGAUUGAAAAGUAGUUGGUGAUAUUUAGAGGGUUUUUGAAAAGUUUUGAUUAAAUUGAAACUUUAAAUUAAAUAAUACCAACAGAAUCACCGAAAAAAUGGUUAAAAAUAUUAAUAUUUAAUUAUCCGUCGGUAAAAUUACCUAAUAAAAAUACUAGAAUCCCUCAUUUUAUAACAAGCGCGCCUAUUCUUCUUUUUUUUCUUUCUUUUCUGUAAAAAAACCAACAUCCAUUUCUUUCUUUCUCUUCUCUCCAUCAACUCAUUCUCUUCUCUUCUCUUCUCUUCUCCUCCACGGGCAAGUAUGUCUUCUCCUCUCUUCUUUUUUUUUCUCUUCUCAUAUUUUUUUUUAAUUAACAUACUUUUUAUUUUUUUUCUCUUCUCUUCUCAUCUUCACUCGCAAUUAAAUUAAGGUGAAAUUUUUCUUUUUUCUUCUCUUUUUUUGUGUUUUUUUUACAUUAUAUUAUUUAUUUAUUUUUUUAAAAAAAUUAUGUUCUUUAUAAUUGUAUGAAAUGUUGUUGUAGGAUUUUUUUUUUCAUAUGAGAUCAAUUUUGUUGCAUUUUAGUUAGAUAUUUUUUCAAUUAAAUUAAAUUAAAUUAAUUUAUUUGUUGAUGGAUUAUGGAUUAUGGAAUAAGUUUUCUAGGUUAGGUGAAAAUAUUUUUUAGUUUAUUUAUUUAUUUGUUAUUGUUGUUUAUUUUUUAGUAUUAUAGAGUAUUACUAUUGUUCUAAUUCUGUUAAAGAGAUUUUUUAAAUAAUUAAUGACAGUAUUACCGAAAAAUUAAGUCUUUCAGUAUAUUUCAAAUAAUUGAAAAAGAAUUACUGCAAAUGUCAUUGUGUCAUUAGUUAAUCAUCGACGGAAUUGCAUACGGUAUUUAUGUCGGUUAUAUGGCAAACUUUCCAAGGGAAAUACCAAUGGAAUGAAGCGGGUAAAUUAUUAUUUUUUGCACGCUUUUCCUGUUAAUAAAUUCAUCAGUAAUUUUAUUACCGACAGACUCACCGACAUACAAAAAAUUACCAACGAGAGUUUUACUAACGGAGCAUUUAUGUCCGUGAGUUCGUCGGUAAAUUUAUUAUUGAUGGAAUGAUAAUAUAAAUACCGACUAAAAAUUCCAUUGAUAAAUCUAAGAAUUCUGAUAGUGAAAUAUCAAUGGCUUGAAAUUACCACAUUUUGGGUGCAUGACUUGCUUACUUUUAAAGUAAGUCAACUUGUUUUUCCAUAUUGCUAUGUAUUUAUUUUCAAGUAAAAAUUACUUGAAUAUUUGCGAGUGAAGGCUACCAUGAUUAAUUUAAGUCAUAAAAAACACCACUUAAUAUAAUAUGUUGAAGGUACAUUUUGUUUAAAUUAUUAUUAAAAGAUUGUACAAAACAAAAGUCCAAAACAAAAUCCAUAAAGUACUAAAGUGAAACCUCUUAUUAUAUAUAUUUUAAAGAACUUGUAAAAAAUCUCUUAUCUUAAAUCACAAGAGAAAUAAUUUGGAUGGUAUUUAACAACAAAAGAGAUAGAACUUUUUCCUUUUGCAAGUGGGUUUGCGGGAAAAUAGACUUGACCAUAUAUCCAAGGGGAGGGAAAGAGAUGCGUUUCUCACUAUUCAGAUAUAUAUCUAACGAGCUGACUUCUAGUCAUUUGCAUUAUCGCCCGACUAUAUGUUUUUAUAUAAUAUUCGAAUUUCAUUGUGUUAUUAAAAUUAUAGUUGUUAGACUAGUUUGAUUUAAAGUAUGACUUGGAUAAGAACUCAAGUCACUGAAUUGUCAUGUUAACGUCCAAAUCAUUGGUCAAUUUAAGUUUUUUUUUUUGUUAAAAUAAUAUCAUUUUACUUUUUAAAAAUAUUAAUGUUAAUUUGACAUGAUUUGAUUGUAUUAAUUGAGUUUAGUUGGAUUAAUAUUUUUUAACAAAUUUAAAACUCAAUUAAAAUCAAGCUUUGAAUUAUAGAUUUUUUAGGAAAUGUUUAAAAGUAAUGGUGUUUUGCUUGGAAAUUUAUCAAAAUAAUAUAAAUGUUAUUUUUUUAAAAAAAAUAUUUUUGAUAUUAACAUAUUAAAACGAAUAAAAAAUAUAAAAAAAUUAAUUUUUUUUAAAAAAUUAAAAUUUUAUGAAAUAUUGUUUGGACGGCAUUCCCAUUCCCAAACGUGGACUUGAUGACUAUGUGCUUUUGCUAAUCGAUGACACAUAUCGUGUGAUUAACUAUCUUAAGGUUAAUUAAUCAUUGAAUCUAUAACAUUAGCUUGACGGGCUUAGAUGCAUUAAUGCCUUUUUAAUUUGUCAUUUUUUCACUUUUUUUAUUUAUUUAUUAUUUCAAGAGUGAGUUAGUAAAACUAACCUGGGUCAAUUUGUACUUUUAUUUAUAAUGUUUUUUUUUUAACUUGGGUUUUUUUUGUUAGGUUUUUUUUUAAUGUCUAAUUUAUUUUUAUCCCAAUCUCAUGUCACUUGCGGCUAGUUAGUCGAGUAAAUCUAAGUUGAUUUAGAUUUUUUUUCCAUUGAUUUUUUUAUUUUUUUUUUCAAUUUUUUUUCCUUGAUCUUUGUCAUUUUUUCACUUUUCUUAGUGUUUGGUUAUUCCGAGAGCAAGUUGGUAAAGUUAACUCGGAUUGGCUCAGGGUUUUUUUUAUGUUUUUUUUAUUGAACUUUGGUUUUUUUACUAGAUCAUCCCUUUGAAAUUUUUUUAUCCCAAUUUCAUAUCAUGGGUUGUUGGUUUGUCAAAUUACCCUUAGUUAACUUGGUUUUUCUUCUUUGAAGUUGCAUUUUUUGAAGUUUUUUUUUUUGUUUUCAUCUUAGAUAUUAGGUUAAGAGGUCUUACAAUUUCCUUUCGCUUUUCUUUUUGUGGGUUCUUUUAAUCUUAUAUAUCAAGCCGUGUUUUAGUUAAUUUAAUAUGGGUUGUCUUUGUCAUCACUUGAAUAUUUUUUUUUUUUGCUUUGAAAAAAAUUCAACUCGUCCCAGGGUAUAGCACUAACCACCUAUCUAGCAUAUACCAAAUAUAAAAGGAUAGAGGACCGAUUUGGACUCGGACAUUGAAUUGUGUGUUCGAGUGCCUCUCAUGAAUGAAUAGUACCAUUUAUCAAGUGUUGGCAUGGAUGACACUUGAGACAAAAAUAGUGUAAAGGGCUGGCAUUAUCAUGAUCUGCUCUUUCCCAGGAGAACUAAGCAGACAGACUAUAAAUAAUGUAUUUAUAAGAUAUUAUUAAGCGAUCCCGUUGGAGAGCUACAUGUAAUUUUUUAUGAAUAUUGACUGCAGAAACAUUUCCAUCUACCAAAACAGAGAGAGGAAAAAAAAAACCCUCUAAAGUAGGGUAUUAGCAUUUGGCAUUUCACCCAUGCUGGAUCCUUUAGCCGAGUCAAGUUCCCCAAGGACUCUGGAAUGGUACCAUGAAGUUCGCUGAAGGGAAAAUUACUGUUGAAGAACAUGAAAACAUUUUAAUUAGCUUCCUUGAAAUAUAAAAUUUCACUUGGAGGAAAUUCUAUGAAUUUGAUCAAAAGAAUAAAAGAAUUGUCGAAUUUCGUAUUGUUAUGGUGCAGUUUCAAGGGAGAUUCAAUUUAUAAAUUUAUAUAAAAAAAUAAUAAUAAUAAUUUUCCACCGUGUUUAAUGGAAAUUCAUUUGCACCAAACGUUUCUAUUUUAGUCAUGUGCACCCAAAUUAGCUUAAUACUAGUUACAUGCCCCGCACGAUGCCGCGGGUUAAUUAUUUUUUACAUUUUAUAAAAAGCUAAGAUCUAAAAGUAUUAGUUUUUUUCUUGCAAAGUUAUACCCAAGAGUCUUAGGUUUAGUUGCAACGCCUAAUCCAACAGUAAUAUUUAUAAUAUUAAUAAUAACAUUAAACUUGCAUGGCCUAAAUUUAAGUGGGUUUGACUGCAAUACCAGACCCAAUAGCAUUAGACGUGGGUCUAACUGCAAGGUCGUGUCAUAAAUGUGUGAUAAUUAAAUAGAUUAGUUAAAAAGAAAAAAAACAAAGAAAAAAAACCAACAGGAAAAUAAAAACUAAUGAAGAAAAAGAAAAAAAUAUGAAUUAACUGGGUUAACCCUUCAAACCAGGUUAACCCGUCAUACCUUGAAUUCGCAUCGUGAAAGUUUGAUAAUUAAAAAGGAAAAAAAACAAACUAAUGGGUUAACCCAGAAUUAACUGGGCUAACUCGUCAAACCAGGUUAACCUGUCAAACCCGAAAUCCGUGUCAUGAAAGUUUGAUAACUAAAUAGAAAAAAAAUUAACAUUAACAAUUUAAAUUAAACAAAAAAAAAUUAAUUAAAAAGAAAAGGAACAAAAGGAUGAGCCUUUUCACUGUGGACUGCACUGUGCAGUCCACAGUCAAAUGCAUAAAAACAACAAAAAAACAAAAAGAAAAACUAAAGGCAUCAGCCGAGAACUACUUAGAAAAAAAUUUAAUAUUAAUAAACUAAAUUAAUUAAAUAAAAUUAAUUAAAAAGAAGAAAUAAAAGAAAAAAAAACCUCUAAGAAGAAAAAAAAAACUAAAUAGAAAGAAAUUUAACAUUAACAAACUAAACUAAACGAAAAAAAAUAAUUAAAAAGCAAAAAAAAAAAUUUCAGGUUAACUCGUCAAACCAGGUUAACCCGUUAAACCCGGGAUCCGUGUCAUGAAUGUCUGGUAACUAAAUAAAAAAAGUGAACAUUAACAAACUAAACUAAACGAAAAAAAUUAAUCAAAAAAAAUUAUGAAAAUAAAAAACAAAAAAAAAAUGACGGGUCAACCCAGAAUUAACUGGGUUCACCCGUGAAACCAGGUUAACCUGUGAAACUCGAGAUAUGUGUCAUGAAAGUCUGAUAACUAAAUAGAAAGAAAUUUAACAUUAACAAAUUAAACUAAAUGAAAAAAAUUAAUUAAAAAGAAAAAAAGCAAAAAAUAUAUAUUUCUAGGUUAACUUGUCAAAUCAGGUUAACCCGUUAAAUCCGGAAAACGUGUCAUGAAAGUCUGAUAACUAAAUAAAAAAAAUUAACAUUAAUAAACCAAAUUAAACAAAAAACUUUUGUUAAAAGAAAAAAAAUAAAGAAAGAAGCAAAAAAAAAUCCCGAAAGGCAUAAAAAACAGCUAAAACAAUAAGACAACUUAAAAAAAAAAAAAAACCAAAAACGGAUCAGUGUUUUACUGUGGACUGCACUGUGCAGUCCACAGUAAAACACUGAUCCGUUUUAGUAUAUGUUACAAUUAAUUAAAAAGAAAAGAAAAAAAAAUUCGGGUUAACUCGUCAAAUCAGGUUAACCCGUCAAACCCGGGAUCCGUGUUAUGAAAAUUUGAUAACUAAAUAAAAAAAUUAACAUUAACAAACUAAAUUAAACAAAAACAAUUCAUUAAAAGAAAAAUACACAAAGAAAAAGGCAAAAAAAAACCUAUAAAGGCAAUAGAAAACCAAAAAAAAAAUAAAAACAAAAAAAAUAAAAAAUAAAAAAUAAAAACAAAAAAAAUGGGAAAAAAAUAAAAACAAAAAAGACAAAAAAAAAAAAAGAAAAAGAAGAAGACAAAAAAAAAUGGGAAAAAAAUAAAAACAGAAAAAAAAUGGGAAAAAAUAAAAAAAAAAAACAAAAAAAAAGAAAGGAUUGCUCAGCGUUUCACUAUGGACUUGCACAGUGAAACACUGAGCAGUUUUAGUUUUUUCUUAAUAGGUCUCAUUCAAGAAAGUGUUAGUCUUCGCCAAUUAAAUCGAUCAUGUUAUCAAUCAUGUAGUAUACUUGCAGUUAUCCAUCUAGCCUAAUACACCUUAUCCUGUAAUAACUCGAAGUCAAACGUGCUUGGGUUAGAGCAGUAUUAAAAUGGAUGAUCUCCUAAGAAUUAUUGUGCACCCCCAACCCACAUACAAGUGUGUAAUUGCUAGUUAACGGGCUCUUCACUAUGAUUUGGUUCUGGAAUGUGGUUGUUCACGCGUGAAUAGCAUCCAAUAAUGUAUUCAUAAUAUAAAAUAAAAAAAUCUUGCAAUUGUAGGUGCUAGAAAUUGAUUCAAGAGUAAGCUAGAAUUAAGAUGUGAACUCUAAAUUCAUAGUUUUAUUCUUUGAAAAUAAAAAAUAAAAUCUCCUCAAAAGUUUAUAAAAUUUUUAAAUAAAUCAGAAAAUCAUAUCUCUACUAGAAAACAACUAAAAAUUUAAAAACAUAAAAGGAAUAACAUAGAAUCCAAAAAACCAUACGUAAAAUAACAAAAUUAACCCAAACAUUAACAUCCGGACCUAAAAUUUGAUUCUGGAAGAUCUAAUCAGUUACGCCAUUGUUGCCUAUGAGAAAAUUGCUACUAGAUUUAUCUGACAAUAUUUAACUCUAAUUCAAUAAUCAAAUCUCUUGUCAUCACAGUUUUAAAGUGUUAAUCUGUUCUAACUUCUCUUAAGCCUAAUCUUAUAGUCUAUCUAAAUCAUUUUAUCGUAGUGUUAUAUUCUCACUCAAUGUUUAAAAACUUCAAUUUCUAGGAGGCAGACUACGGCCAUGUUUGUUUCCCGGAAAGUGGUUUCCAGGAAACCACUUUCUAAAUUUUCCUAUGCUUGUUUGUCAUUAGGAAAGUUGGUCAACGGAAAACACUUUCCAGUCAAAGAAAAAUUUGACUUGGUUUCCAGGAAAGUGUUUUCCUGAAAAAUUUGGGCGGAAAACACUUUCCGGAAGUUAUGAAAAAAUUUGAAAUGUCAUAUUAUUUGCUGAUUAUAUCAAAUUUGGUCCUCAAACUUUUAAUUGCUAUAUAUAUUUUGUUUUGAAUAUUUAUUUUUCAAUUUCAUCUCUUAAAAUUUAAUUUUUAUAUUAACUUUGUUCCUCAUUUUUAUAAUUGUUAUUUGCUUUUCCCUUAUCAUUUUCUUAUUGAAAUUUUUUAUCUAUCAAAUUUGGUCCUCAUUCUUUUGAUUGUUACUUAUUUUAUUUGAAAUAAUUUAUGAAAUGUUAAUUAUUAUUAUUUUAAUUUCAUCUUUCAUUUUUAUUUUAUUUUUUAGAUUUGAUUUCUAUUAUUUUGAUUAUUAUUUAUUUUAUUUGAGAUAAUUUAUGAAAUUAUAUUUUUUUUUCAAUUUCAUUCCUAUUCAACUUUUUAAUUUGUAAGAUUUGAUCUUCAUUAUUUUAAUAAACUUGAGAAAAUAAAACAUUAAUAAGUUAUUUUCCAGCUCAUUUUCCAUGACAUAACCAAACAUUAGAAAGUAUUUUCCAACUUAUUUUCUAUUACACUACCAAAUAUCAGAAAAUAAUUCACUUUUCUGGAAUUCACUUUUCCGAAAUUCAUUUUGAAAAAAAAAUUACUUUUCAACAAACAAAUAGAAACUACAUUAGAAAUCAUUGGAAUUCUCCUCAGCAAUAAGAACAUUAAUUGAUGCUUAUACCAAACUUGGACAUGACUGCUAUAUUUUUAAUGCAACACUAAAAGACACUAAAAGGCAUUAUUCAAUAGCUUACAUGUCAAUAAAAACUUUUUUUUUUCAAAUAAUUUUAAGACAAGUCCUCGUAGAAAUAUAAUUUGUACAAAGAAAUUUAUUUUUAAAUACUGAAUUUAAUAUAUAAAACAAAAAAUUCGGGAAGAAAUCAUUGUCAAGAAUAAGCUAAAUCAUGUUUUAAAACCUUACUUAUAAAUUUAAAUGUUUUAGAUUUAACUAGUGUUCUAACAUGAUAUUAUAACUCGAGUUAAAAUCUUAUAUUUUUAAAAAAAAUUAAAAUUAAAAUUAAUAAAUAAUAUAAGAUAAUAGAAGUUUGUAUAAGUUUUAAAGGAUAUAUUAAAAAUUAAUAGAAAUUAUAUUUUUGAAUUUCACCAAAUAAGUUAAAAAGAAUUUUGUUGAAAUGAUUAUUUUAGAGACAUAUCACAUCAACCCUUUGAAAUUAGAUAGAAUUGGUCAAACAGAAUACAUUGCAUGCCAAAUAUUUUAGAAAAUACUUAAAUUCACUUUCCAAGCCAUGAAGAUUCGGAUGUGUUUGGAGAAAAACGCAUGAAUACUAACAUGAGGUACUCUCAAAUGGGAUUUUCUUAUACGAUUUGAUUUGCGUAAUGCAUCUGUGUGCUGUCCAAACAUGACCUACUUGUUCUUGUAGAGUGGGACUGCACUAUCUUUUGUUUUUCCAUGGUCACCUAAUCCACCCAAAAACAAGGGCCCCUGCACCAUACACGGAGUGUGCAAGCAGGCCAAGCAGUAAGUUUUUCGCCGAGGUCUAGACGGCACACCAGUAGUUUUCCCUCGGUCAAAACAACCUUAUCUCUUACACCUUACACCGCGUCACCCGAAACCCAAGGCAACUUGCUUCACUGUUUUCUAAAAUACAGUACAAUGUCUAUUUAAAAAACAAUAAAUAUUUUUAAAUGAUAGUUAACACAGAAUUUAUUUUUUGUCUUAAAAAUAUUUUUUAUUUUUUUUAUUUUCAAUUAAUUUUUAUUUUAGUAUUUUCAUAUAUUUUAAUACGAUGAUGUUAAAAAUAAAUUGUAAAAGAUAAAAAAAAUAUUAUUUCAAUACAUUUUUAAUUCAAAAAUACUAUAAAAAGCAAUCACUACCACAAUAUUAAACAUGCUCUAAAUUAUAGUUAAUAAACUAAAAUCUAGAAUCAAUCUGUUCAAACUCAAGUAAUGAAUUAGACUGAUUAAACCCAGUUCAACAUAGACUUUUUAGAAGAAAAAUUAUAAUGAAACCCAAAAUGAUGUUUUUUUACAAAACCUAGAUUUUUUCAUUGACUCGAUGAUUUUUUCAUUGACUCGAUGAUUUUUUCAUUGGCUUUGCCUAAUUCAAUCCAAGACUUGAGUCAUGGAUUGACAUAGUUAACAUAGUUCAAUCUAGUUUUCUUUAAAAAAAGAUAAUAAUAAAACCCAAAAAGAUGUUUUUCUAAGUAAUAAAAUCUAGGUUUUUUUAUUGACUCGACCUAAACCAAAUCUCAAAUUAGUGAGUUGAUGUCUCUAAGCUGAAUUAGAUUUAAAAAUUAAAAGUUCUUUUUUCUUGUUUACUAUAUGUUAAUAGAUUAUCUUAUAACAAUUUGCAAACACUGAUUAGUAAUCAAAUAAAUACAAAACACAAAAAACUUAAAUGUACAAGAUAUUUGGUUACGAAAAAAAACUUUUUUAACAAAUAAUAAAUAAGAUUAAAACUAUUAAUGUAGAAAAAACAUGAAUAGUGCAUUAUUUUAGGGGGGGAAAUCCCGCAUUGUAGGUAACAACAAUAAUUUCUUUCCAAAGCCAAUCGAACUUCCAUUACAAGUGUCUGGCAUUUUAGGAAAAACAUCCAUCGUUGUCAACCUAAAACACAAAACCAUUUGCCAAUCAAACAAAUUGCCCCUCGUGUCGGUGCCCACAGACAUUAAAUUCUCACCGCGUCCAUGGGCAUCAUCCGUAAUUUCCACCAAUCCCAAGCCCAGUAAAUCCUAUCCUUCAGCCACGUCACCAAAGUAAAUCUCCCUAUAAAAGCCCACCACCCCCGAAUCUAUCCAUUCAGUCCGCACAAAUCCUUCAAACCCGUGAAACGGCAAAACCUUUACAAUGAAACGACAAAUACUAACCCUCUCCCUCCUCUUCAUCGCUGUAACCGUCGUGGUGGUUGACGCGGCGCUCCUCGGCGGAUGGAGUCCGAUAAAGGACUUGAAAGACAAGCACGUGGUAGAGAUCGCGGAGUUCGCCGUUGCAGAGCAUAACAAGGAAGCCAAAUCAAAUUUGAUGCUUGAGAGUAUCGUUAAAGGCGAAUCGCAGGUGGUAUCGGGUACGAAUUAUCGGCUCGUUUUGGCAGUGAAAGGAAGGGCUAAUGCCACGUACCAGGCUGUUGUGUAUGAGAAACCUUGGGAGAAUUUGAAGAGUCUGACGUCGUUUCAACCUUUUAAAGGUUGAGAAAUGUAAUGCUCUGAUGUAAUGUUCUAAUUUCAGCUUUCUUUUAGAAAUUUGGGAUGAUAAUAUAAUAAUAGAGACUUUGGGGGUUCUUUUAUAUAUUUUGUUUUCUUGGGUUCUUUUUAGUUGGUUUGAUUUGGAUUGUUGAGAGAGAAAUUGACUGAAUUGACCAGUGUUGGAUUGAUUGAGAAAAUUUGGGUGUUGAAUUUUUAAUUAGAAGAAACAAAAUAAAAUUUAAACAGAGGGCAAAGGAAAUGAGCGUAUGAAACCAAUGAAGGGUGAAAACAUUCUAAUUUAAUAAAUUCCCAAAGUAUUUAAGUGCUAAAAAAUAUUACUAAAUGCUAAAGAAAUCAAGUGAAGCUAUUAAAUUUGAUUUCAUUUUUUGCUUUUGUCUUUCUUAUUACAAAGUGCCUAAUUUUAUGUUAAAUGAUUAAUGUUAUAAUAAACUCUAAAUGAAAUGGGAAAUAAAAAACGACAAGUGAACCCAGAUGAAUCUGGGAGGAUGUUUUCGUCUUUGCAACAUUUUAUUUUUAAUAAGGUUUUUUAAUUAUUAAAAUAUAAAUAAAUCAAUAUAAAUAAAUGGUGCGUCCUCAUUCCCCAAAAUGGGUGUUGCGUGGGAUGUAUCCAUCUAUCAUUGUGUCAUUGAACACGUUAUGUGAUGGUGGCAUGGUGCAAUUGUUGGUGUGACAUGUUCGGCCUCGUUACCGGCGGUUCGGUAACAAUAAAAGUUUUUUCUCUUCUCUUUCUUCUCUUGUAUGUAUUGGUGUUUGCGACGGACAUUUAAAAAUUAAGAUGUGUCCAUUUUUUUAAAAUUGAUCGUUAUAUAUAUUUUUUAUAUGUAUUUGUUUUUAUUUUAAAGUUUUUUUUUAAUUUCAUCCAUUUUUAUUUUAUUUCAUAUAAUUUUUUUUUAUCUAAUUUGACCUUUAUUAUUUUGAUUGCUAUUUUUUUAUACUUUGCAUCUGAUUUUAUUCUUUAGAAUUUAAUUUAAUUUUUUUUUGUUUUCAAUUUUGAUCCUUAUUUUUUUUUAUCCUUUUCUUCAUGUAUUUUUUUUUAACUUAAUCUCUAAUUAUUGUUUUGUGCAUGAUUUAGUUCUUAUUGUUUUUAUAUUUAAUUUUUUUUAUUGAGAAUUUUGUUUCGUUGUUUUUUCAUAUUUGUCUUCUACAAUUAUGACCCGGUCCACCAGUUUUGAUGACUAACUCAAUUUAAGUUUGGUAUUUUUUUGAAAUUUUUUUUUAACUUAAAUCUUGCUCCGAGUUGACUCAGCUAGAAUUUAAAAACUAUGAAUUUAAGUUAUAUUAAAACAAAACCAGAAAGUGUUUAUUUGUGAGAGUGAUAGAUAUUUCUUUUUCAAAGUGUUUUUUACUUGAAAAUGCAUCAAAAUAAUAUUUGUUUUUAUUUUUUAAGAUUUGUUUUUGACAUCAACACAUCCAAAUGAUUCAAAAAUAUUAAAAAUAAUAAUUUAAAAAUAUAAAAAUUCAAAAAAAAUUCAAAAACAUGGUUAAACUUAGACAAAUAAGACCAUAUUGCGGCCUAUUUAUCUUGAGUAGGAGUUUACAUGUUGCAUUGAUGACGUUUCUCCUAGCACAUUGGGAAUUUGUAGUUGGGCAUGGAUUUCAAGAAUCUAAAUCCUUGACAUUUCUUAGCUGUUGGGAUUGGUUUUAUAAAAUAUACGUUAGGUUUUUUAAUAUUAAAUUAAAUAUGAACUCCAUUUACAUUUAAAGAUAAAUCAUGUUGGGUUUUGUAAUUUAAUAUGAAUAUUUAACAUGAAAUAUGAAUAUAAUUUUAAAAAUUAAUUAAAGGAAAAUAAAAAAUUAUUAUCAAAUAAUAUUUAAAUAACAAAAUUUUCAAAUCCAAAAUAACAUUGUGGAAUAAUCAAUGAGCUUGUAAACUCAUGAAAAAUAUUUCUUUUAUUAAGUUCUUAUUUCAUCAGUUUCUAAAAUAUCUUAAUACAUGAACUAAUAUUUUAAUUAUGAUAUGAUAAGAAUAGAUAUAUUUAUGAAUUUUUAUUAAUUAUGAUAAUUUAUCAUAAUAAAUAAACAUUUAUAAAUUAUAAAUAUAAUGGAUGAUAAUUGUAUGCUAUUUUAGAAUAUAAAAUUCAAAAUAUAAAAUAAGAGAUGAAAAUGGGUUAUUCAUGGAUCAUGUUUUGGCAUUAUCCACGCACACACAUGAAUCCAAAACUGUUAUAUGUCUUUGACUCGUUAUCCAGUAAGUAUGAAUUUUGGAUAUCUAAACCUAAACUGAUUUGGUUUCAGUAUCUAUGAAAUUACUUCUUGUAAUUUAAUCCAUUAAUAUAUGUUUGAAAGAAGAAAUUUUAUGGUGUUUAGAAAAUAACUAGUGACAUGCUAGUAGUUACCUUUUAUAAUAAAUAAAUAGGAAAAAGAAAUUUUAGAUGAAAAUAUUCUUAUUAUUUUUAAUGGCUUGAAGAAAAAAAAAUUAAAUAUAUAUUUAAAAAUAAAAAUAAAAAUCCAAGGUAAUAUUUAUAUUUUUCCAAACUCAUUAUGAUAGACUUGGACAAACAUCUAUUGAGUAUUUAUUGAGUUUGGAUGAAAUUGCAAUUUCAAUACAUGAUUGGGAGGAUAAAAGAUUUAAAUAUACAUAAAGUAUGUGUAUCAAGGAACAUUAAUUCAUUUCCAUUUUGCUAAAUUUUCUUUGGACUUUCUUCCAAAAAUCUUAUCAUUGUGGAAAAUUAUAAGGUAAUCAACAUGUGUAUCAAGGAACAUUAAUCCCUUUCCUUUAAAAAAUCCAUAUUAUAAGGAAAAUUAAUUCAUUUUUUUUUCUUUCAAAAAUCUUAUUAUCCUUCCUCCAUGUUCACCAAAAUCAAACACCCCCAUAAUAAAUACCACGUCACAACCAUUCCCUCAAUCAUUCUACGCAAUUCUUUCAAAUCGUUGAAAUAGCAAAAACGCUAGAAUGAAACGACAAACAAUAGCCCUCCCCUUCUCCCUCCUCUUCAUCGCCAUAACUCUGGCGGUGGUUGACGCAUUUUCAGCUGGUGGAUGGACUCCAAUAAAGAACAUGAAUGACACGCAGGCUAUAGAGAUUGCAGAGUUCGCCAUUACAGAGAAUAACAAGCAAGCCAGCUCUAAUUUGGAGCUUGAUAGUAUCGUUAAAGGACUUGAAAGAGAUGCAGGUGAUAACAAGAAUUAUCAGCUUGUUUUGACAGUGAAAGGAGGAAAAGCUGAUGAACAAUAUGAAGCUGACGUGAAUGUUUCGGGGAAUUUGAAGGCUCUGAUUUUGUUUGUGCCUUUAAAAGGUUAGGAAAAAAAAUGAAAUCUAAUGUGGUGAACAAUUAUGUGUUUUUGAGAAAUUGGAGACAUUAAUGAUAAUUAUAAUAAAAGUUUAAUAAUAUUGUAUUCCUUUGAUGGAAUAUCAUGUUCAAAAUUUAAUAAUAAUUUUAAAUUCAAUGAUCUAGAUUAAAAAAGAGGGGAGUUGAUAACAAGUAUCAGGCAAUUGUUAAUGAGAAACCUGGGGAAGAUUUGAAGGGCAUGACGUAGUUUUAAUUAAAAGGUUGAGAAAAUGUACUCCUCAAGUUUAAUGUAUUAAUUUCAGUUUUUUUUUUUUUUGAAAUUUGACAUGAUAAUAAUAUAUACAUACAAGCUAUUUCACAUGUGAUUCCUCGCGGAUGAUAUUUUUUUUAAAAAAAAAAAUUUAAUAUACAUGCUUUUUUAACGUGUUUUUUAUAUAAAAAAUUCUAAAUAUAAGUUGAAAAACUUAUACAAGUAUCUAAUUAAAUAAACCAAUACUUAUAUAUGUAAAUAACUAAAAACAAAUCUUUAACUUUAACCGAAACUAAAAAACUAGAGAAAUAUAUAUAGAUCAAAAUAUUUGAUCUUACAACAUAGAACAUUUAAUCAAUUGUUUAUCAAAAUUUAUUUUUUUAUUAAAUCAAACGAUAAUAUAAAUAAAUACAUAUGAAACUGAUUGAAUAAAAUAAAAAGAAAAAAACUAUUUGCAAGACUUCACAUAUUAAAAAUAUUAUCUAAAAUUAAAUAUUUUUUAUUUUUAAAAAUAAAGUUCAUCUGUAUAAAAUAAAAAAUAUAUAUAGAAGAAUUAGAAUAAUAUCUUUAAAAAUUAAAUAAACAUAAAAUAAUUAAAAAAAAACUUCUAUUAAAAAAAGUUUGCAUAACUACUGGCCUAGAUCAUGAGACCGGGAUAACUCGAUAAAAACAAAUUGAAGAUAACCACAAUACCAAUCUUUUUUUCUCUAAAAAAUAAUGUCGAACGAUGAAAUAAAAAAAACCAAUAAAUACAGAAAAAAACAAAUAAAUUUAACAAAAUGAAAGAAAAUUAAAAGAAUGUUGGUCAAAUCAGAAAAAUAAUACUCCGUCAAUUCGGAAUAAUAAUACUCCAUAAACUCUUAUUGACAGAUGAAAUUGAAAACCAAUAAAAUUUUAACAAAAGGGCCAAGGAAAAAAAUAGAAAUAAAAAGAAUAAGAAUCAAAUUAAAAAAAAAAUAUGACAAAUUAUAAUUAAAGGAUGAAGUUGAGAAAAAAAACAAAACUUUUAUAAAAGAGCCAAGAAAAAAAAUCAAAAUAAUAAGGAUUACAAAAAUAAAGAGGAUCAACAUGUACUUUUAUGUUAGGAGAAAGAAAAGAAAAAAAAUAACCAUCAGUGAUAAACUGUCCAUCAAUCAUUGUCAGACAUCGCACCAGGAGAAAGAGGAUGCAAUGACACUUUAAGCUAUACAACGAAAGGUCAGGUUUGGCCACUAAAAGGCAUCGUAUGCAUCGUCUAAAAGACACGGGCGCCUCCCAUGCACUGGUGCGUUAAGAGGAUGCACCGACAUCUUUUUUUAAUAAAAAUAAUAAUAUUCAACUUAAAAGGAUCAUAAUACCCUUAAUGAAUGUCGUAACCAACAUCUCAGUGACCUAUAAAAAACUAGGAAAAAAAAACAGAUAGCUAACAUCUUAUUCUUAGAAAGAAAAUGUCUUAUUUAAAGAGUUACCACCUAGUUUUAUGGUCACUAGAAACCCUAACUGAUCUUCAGACGGAAAGGAUUGGUUACGUUAGAGAAAAAAAAUUAUCACCCCUAAAGUGUUCUACUUUAGACAAGUUGCAUUGCUAAUUUUGUUUUAAAUUGUUAUGGGAGUUGUGCUAUAUUAUUAAUGAUUUGUCUAUAAUAUUUUUGACUCUGACGUCAGUAAAUAUUGAUGUUGAUAUUUUUUAUUCUGAUGUCAAUAAAUAUUAGAUUUAAUAUUUCUAACUCUGAUAUAAAUAAGUACCAAGAUUAAUUAAUACUUGUUAUAAAUCUACUUAUGUCGAACACUUUUAAGUUGAGUUUUUUAAAUACUCAUUGUCACGUGAAUGAUAGAAGUGGGCUUUGAACUCUUUCAACUAUACGAGUUUUUGGUAUUAUAUAUAUAUAUAUAUAUAUAGUUCAAUUUGGACCAACAUCGUGAUGGAAAUGGCUGCCACGAAGAGAAUGAGAGAGUUUUGUUUCUCUUGCACAAAGGUUGCCAACAGCUCAUGGAAAGAGUGGUAAUAUUGGCCUCACCCAACACUUUGUUAAAACAUAUAAAAAGCUCAGCUCAAAAUAAAGAGGCCAUGAUUUCUGUGGUUUUACUGGAGCCUAGCACAUGAAGAAGAAAAGGAUGUCAAGUUUUGGGAAUACUUUUUUAGUUGUUUCAUAUUAUUCUAAAUCUCUGUGUAUUUAGUGUAUAUGAUGACACGGUGCAUAAUAUUUUUGAGAAAAUAUUUUUUUAAUUAUAAAUAUAUUAAAAUAAUAUUUUUUAAUUUUUAAUACUAAUACAUUAAAAUUAUUAAAAAAAAUUUAAAACAAUUUAAUAUCUUUUCAAAAAAAAUUAAAAAAUACUUUAAAAACAGGUUGAACUGCAAAAGAAAAAAAAAGAAAAAUACAUAUACUAACCUCCUUAACGUGGAUAUAUAUAUAAGAUAAAUAAUAAAAAAAAUCUAAAAUGACAACACGUAUAACGAAAAUAACACAUUUCAUAUUCAAAAACACACCAAACUAGCUUUUAUUAUAUUUAAUUCAUCACAUUUAUUAGUUCUUUUUUCCUUAACCAUUUAAAGGCACAAAAGAUACUAGAACCGUCGAAUAAUCAUAACUCUCAUGCACAACAGCCUCAUACAGUCCACCAGCCCCUAUCACUGCCAAAAGAAGCCGAUAAUCCGUGCCUUCUUUGACCUGCAAUUCCCCUUUAUGGAUACUAUAUAGCCUCAACUCGGAUCCAGCUUGCCUGUUAUGCUCUUUUACAGCGAACUCUGCAAUCUUUACCACGUGCUUGUUUUCCAAGUUCUUUAUUGGAAUCCAUCCGUCAGCCAGCGUUACAUCAACCACCACCAUAGUUAUGGCGAUGAAGAGGAGGGAGAGGGCUAGUGUUUGUCGUUUCAUAGUAACGUUUUUGUCGCUUCAAGAAUCUGAAGGAAUUGCGAAGAAUGAAUGAGAGGGAAUUAAUGGCUGUGGUGUGGUAUUAAGAGGGUGUGUUUGCUUUUGGUGAACAUGGAGGAAGGACAAGAUUUUGGAAAGAAAAUCGUAAGAAAUCUUAGAAAAUAGAAAUAAAUCAAUGCUCCUUGAUUUUAUAAACUUGGGAGUUUUUUUAAAAAUAGCACUUUCAUGUAUAUAUAUUAAUUGUCCAUAACAAAAUUCCCAAUUUAUUUUAAAAUUCUUUUCUUUAUUGGUUCUAUUAUAUCUCUCUUUUUAAUGAGUUUCAGAAUAUAUCCAGCACCCAUUUUACAGAAAAGUAGGUUUUGGACUUUAACCAAUAAGCGUGUGAAUCUACUCAGGCCUGAGCCUAAGUGUGAAUUUAUUAUAAUAUAAUUUUUUGAGCUACAAUACAUUAUUUUUUACCGACUUAAAUAUGGGUUUGAAUUUCAUCCAUGAAAAAUUAUUUUUUCUAGCUUAUUGGUUAAUUUGUUCAACCCGGUGAAUAUAAGAAUUUAAUUAAUUUUUUUCAGAAUAAUUUCUUCAAAACUUAAACAGUUGUUUUCAGCACAAAAACAUUUUAUUUAAAGUAAAAGGUGUUCAGGUUUAAUUUUGGUUUCAUGAAGGUAAUCAAAACUAAUAGUAGAGGGAAUUGGAGGGAUAUUUAUAGAAUAAUUCAUGUGAUUUAUUGUAGUUUUGGGAAGCUACUCUUCGUCGGAGCUAGCUAUUUCACUGUCAGGAUCUAAUUUCAUGGCCUUGGUGAAUGAAAGUACACACCAAUAUUUAGUCUUAAACGACUCAAAAAAAAAAAAAAAAACAAAAAACAAAAGAGAGAGGAUAAUGCUAUAAAAAUGAAAAUAAAAAUAAAAAAGAGUUAACGAAACUUAAUACUAUCCUUAAAUGAUAGCUUUUGAAACCGUGUCUAGGAACUUUUGCUACGUGGGACGGCUGAAAAUUAUUGUGAGAAUGAGUGGAAAUGACUCCAAGUCAAAAAGAAAAAAAAAAUUGCAUGUGAGAAUGCGGCAUUGGGAAGGCAUUGAACAAGGAGAUAUGUCUUUUGAAAUCCGUAAAACCUAACUAAAUAUCUGUUCAAGAUAAGAUUCAAGUUAUAGAUUAGAUUAACUCUAAAAAUAGUUUAAAAAAAUAUAAAGUAAUUUUAUUUUCAUUAAAAACAAUUUUAAAAAAAUUUAUAAAUUAAAAAUUGAAUUUUGAUCGAAUUAAACACACAUUAACAUAGUCAGGAGAUUAACCCAAAAUUUUAAUUGAGUUAACUGAAACUUUUUUUUCUUUAGCCCUAAUCAAUAACUCUAUGUUAACCGGAUUUUAAAUCGACUUGCCAGAAUAAUUCAAGAUUUGUAACUACAGUGAAAUCAGAAGUUGGGAAGGAGUUCAUUAGUCUUUGGCUGGAUUUCCAUAUUGAGAGCAUUGACUAUAAGAGUAACCGGUGCUUUUUUAAAAAUAAUUAAUUUGACAAUCACUACAUGGUAUUUUGGAAUCAAUUUUCCAAUCCAUAAAAAAAGAAAAUUAAACCGAAAAAACCAGAAAAAAAAUAAUCGAAAAAACCAAACCGUGAGAAAAAACCGAUUAAACUGAUUAAAAUUUUUAAAAAACCGACCGGGUUGAUUUUAUAAGUCUAAAAUCGAAAAAACCAAACCGAACUGAAAAAACCGAGCCAAACCGGAAAAAAACCGAGCCAAACUGAAAAACCGAGUCAAACUAAAAAAGCUGGUUUUUGUUCUAGAAUAACCGAACCUAAAUCGGUCGGUUUGAACCGGUCUUGGUUUUUUUAAAUAAAAAAACUGAUUUGAUUAUUUUUUUUGAUAAAAACCGAACCGAACCGAAAAUGAUCACUCCUAGAUUUUGAUAUUAUAACAAAGAACUAUUUUAAUUUAAAAACUUAAAAAACUUAAAUAAUUAGAUGAAGGAUGUAAUUUAUAUAAUUCUCUCUAAUAUUCUAGUCAAAAUAUAUAUACACCUGAAAAAUACAAUAUCUUUUUUCUUAAAAAGCGAUUGUGUAGAUAGAAUUAGCAAAGUUCCUUCGUAUUCGUAGAGAUGGGAGAUAUAAUUUACAUGGAUAUAGUAAAUCUCACUUUUGGCUGCUUUGAUAGUAGUCUGUAUAUUUCCCCUUUCACUCGCAGUAUGGGGAAGAAAUAUACUUUAGAGAUACUACUGAUUGUUGAGAAAUGAAACUCUAUAUAUCGCUGUGCAAAGAUUUUUUAAUUUAAUUAUUUUAAAUUCAACUAUUUAUAUUGAAAUUAAAUUAAAAUUUAAAAUACUUAGAAUGAUCGUAUUUCUAAAAGAAAAUAUUACGCAUUAUAUAUAUAUAUAUAUCUAAUAAUAUUAUCAUUGUAUAUGUGUCAGUAUCAAAAUUCAAAAACCUUUGUAAAUAAAUUAAAUAAAUUUAAUCAAACUAGCUAGUUCUAGGCAGUGCCUUCAGACUCGACAAGGUUAAUCUAAUUUAGAAUCUAUAUCAAGUUGAAUUUUAAUAAAAAUAAAAAAAAUAACUAAUUUGAUGAGACAUCAAAAAUUUUAUUAUUUUUAUUUUUUAUAAAAUAAAAAAUUUUAAGUUAAUUUAAAUUAAUCCAAGCCAAUCCAUUUAAUCCAUAAUUAAAACUUGCCUCCAUAUAUUUUCAAAUUAGAUUUAAAAAAUAUGUUUCUUAAUCCAAAAACACAAGAAUAAAUGAAUCUUAUCCUUGUAACAUAAUCUAACCCUUUAGGACAAUGUUUUCCACUUCGACCUCAGUUACUGUACUGUAACCGUUUGUGUCGACUAAUAGUCUAUCUAUGUAAGGCCCCAAAAAAAGAAACAGAACCGUCGGAUUUCACACAAACAAAAUCAAGCACACAUUUUCCUCUCUCGUAAAUCAAAUCCCAUAAAAAAUCAAUAAUCCAAAAGCAAAAUUGGUGGCUAAAAACAAGUAAAACGUGAACCCUUUUAGUAGAUAGAAAGCAAUCACUUUCUUGUGUUUUGUGGGGUUUAUAAAGGGAGGAAAAAUAGGAGUCUGCGUGUCAAAACGCGCUGCUGCAGCAGCACGGGAGGAGGUAGUGGUGAAGAAAUUCUCUCCACCACCACAAUCUCCGGUAGCGGCAGCAGCAGCAGCAACAAAGAGACAUUCAGGGCUGUUGAGUUCGAAAUCGGGACAUUUAGUGGGUGAUUCGAAUAGGAUGAAGGGACUUUUCAAGUCAAAGCCGAGAACUCCUGUCGAUGUUGUUAGACAGACUCGCGAUCUGUUAAUCUAUGUUGAUCGGAGUUCAUCUUCUUUGUCUGAUUCAAAACGAGAAGAGAAGGUUGGCAUUAUCUUUAUUCAUUCCUGUAUAAUUUUAUGUGUUUGUGUUUGUUUUUUUUGUUUUUUCUCUGAAUUGGGUGGGUUUUGAUUGAUCUGAGAUUGUUUUGGGAUCAGGGUUGUUUUUAUUUUUCUGUUUUGGAUGCGAAAGUUUGAAACUUUGUGAAAAAAGUGAGGGUGUUUAAGGGAUGGUUUUUGAUGGAAGAUUUGAUUUUAGAUUAGGGUAUGUUAUGAUAUGCUUUGAUAUGCUGUGAUCUUUACCUAAAUAAGUGCUUAUUUGAUUGCGAUGGGGUUCUUUUGCUGAUCAAGUUUAACUUCAGUGUGGCUGGGUGUGUGUGUUAUGAGAGGAUUUUGAUUUGAUGGCAGUGAGUUGAGUUUAAAGAUUUUAACUUGUUAGUGGCUUUAUCUGUCGAGGGAUUCAAAGUGGAAACUUUGAUUGUAGGUUUGAGAAUGAGGUCUGAUCUAUGGUGCUAUAUUUGUCAUUGAUUUGUUUCAACUUGUUUGUUCACGGUAGAAGAAUAGCCCUACUGAGUUUUGGUGAGUGUAGGUAUAAGAGUGUGAUGAACAUGCAUCAGGUUCGUCAUAUAAUUUCUUGCUUGUGUUUCUUGUUUUGGCAAGUUAUUAUCUUUAGUAGGGCUACUGGGACAUUUGAGCUUCUGUCAAGCAUUUUAUUUGUGGAAUCUGAUAUUUACAGUUAUAUAUUCUAACACAGAUGGCAGAAUUAGCUAAAAAUACCAGGGAGUUAAAGUCAAUUCUUUAUGGAAAUAGUGAAUCUGAACCAGUGUCAGAAGCGUGUGCACAAUUGACUCAGGAGUUCUUCAGAGAGAACACACUUCGUCUUUUGAUCAUCUGUCUUCCAAAAUUGAACUUAGAGGUAAGCACUCACAGGAUUAUUGUUGAGAGCUAUGUAGAUUGUUAUCUUGAAUUAGCUAUCAGAUUUAUGAGGUGAUACUGUUCUUUUUCCUUGUUCUUUCAUAAUGGUUUGGUUUAGUGACACUUGUGCUUUAUGCUUGCCUGGGUGAACCUGUUGGAUUAAAUUCCCAACUGGACGGAAUUUACCCUUAACUGCCAGUGUCUCCCUUUUUUGUCAUUUAGCAUGAAAAUGUUUCCUUUUGCAGACCCGAAAAGAUGCCACUCAGGUUGUUGCAAAUCUACAAAGGCAACAAGUUAAUUCAAGAUUGAUUGCAUCAGACUACUUGGAGAAAAAUACAGAUCUUUUAGAUAUUUUGAUAGCAGGGUAAGCCAUUAACCCUGGAGAGUGUUGGGGGUUUCGAUUACAAUGAUUCCAUUCAAUAGUUCAUCAAAUAUUAUUGAGAUGGUUCAUGGGUUAAAUUUUUAACUUGCUGCAUAGUUUCUGAAAUCUUAUGGAUAGCUAUUGGUAUCUUAAUUAUCACAUCCCAUUUAGUUUGAGCAUCGAUUAUCUGUAUAAAGAUUCCAUUAAUGAUCUGUUUGACGAGUGAUGCCUUUCUUCUAGAUGUGAUCUGUUUGACAAGUAAUGCCUUUCUUCUAGAUGUAUAAUGCAAGAGGAUGUUGCUGUUUAUUUUUAUUUUUGAAAUAUCUAUAAUGCAAGAGGAUGUUGCUGUUUACAGAAUCUUUAAAUGAUUGUCUUGUACACUAUACUGCUUGGCAUGGCUUUGCACUAUGGUGUAAUGUUGAAGGAGUGCAUCCGUCACCAGAGUGUUGCAAGGUAAGCAGAAUCAACUGGGUGGUUUAAUCUAUAUCCGACUAUCAAUAUCAUCUCUAAUUGAGAGAGUAAUCUUUUCCUGAAAGUCCUAAAAAAUUGUUUGUCUGUUUAGACUUUGUAUACUAAAAAUUAUGAUCCAUUUAUCUUUACAUAAACAUGUCAAAGUGUAUUGUGAAGUCAACAUCUAGAACACUCAUUUUAAUUUGUUGAUCUGGAACUGCUUUUAUCAACUAUCAGCUUCCAUCUUCUUCUUCUUUUUUAAUUUUUUCAAUGGUGCUUUGCCAAUGUUUUAUGCACUCAUUUAUCUGGUUUGAUGGAAGAUAUGUCCUGGAAUCACCACACGUGAAGAAAUUCUUUGAUUAUAUACAACUUCCAAAUUUCGACAUUUCUGCAGAUGCUGCUGCAACUUUCAAGGUUAAGUAUGAUUGACUCAGAUAUAAUAAUUAACUUCUUUUGAUCCCUCUUUCCUCCCUCCUUUUCUAUUUGAAUUUUUUUUUCUUCAUACAAUGCAGUCUUUUUUUUUUGUCAUCCACUGUCAAAGGUUAACACUAAGUGACUUUAAAAUUCUGCUUGUUGCAUUAGAGAAUUUGUGAGAGUAUCUUCUGUACUGCCAUGCUACAAUGUUGGACAUGUUCAUUAUUGUACUGCAUCAUUGCAUGCAACUAUUCUCAAAUGAUUGAAGUGUAUUCAGCUUUUGCAACUUCUGACAGCCCCAGAUUUUUACGCCUUACAUUUGUAUUUGAUAGGGUCCGCAAUUUUAUUUCACUUAAAAAAACCCCAAACUUCAAUUUAAAUGCUCUGGCAAAUUGUUAUUUGGGAAAUUUUAUGUCUUCAUUGCAUGUUUAUGAAGUUAUUAAGUUUCAGUCUUAUACUUGCUAUUAGGGGUAGUGUCAAUCUGAGGCAUUUGUAUUGUUUUGUUGCAGGAACUCUUGACAAGACAUAAAUCUACAGUAGCUGAAUUUCUUUCUAAAAACUAUGACUGGGUAAGUUCUGUUGUCACUUUUGUUUAGAUGGAUACUUGUAUAGAUAUAUACGUGUCUGUGUUAUACAUUUCCUUAGUUAUGUCCACACACACAAUGUGGAUAACAGGGCAUGUCCAAUCCUCUUUUAAAGAAUUUGGAGGGAGACAAGUAUUCUAGUUGGAAAACUUGUGGCUGAGAAAGAUGAUGUGCUGAUUUAUUUAUCUAGUGAUGAAUUAAUAUCAAGAUAUUGUGGCUGUGCAAUGAUGGAGACAUAAAGUAGAAUCUAAACCCCAAUUCAAACCCUAUAAAAUCACUGUGUGAAGGUUUUAACUUCUAAUGGUUUUGUCGAAAACCCAAAUUCAAAACUUAUAUACGAAUAUAUACAUAUGUGCUUAUAUAUUUCAUCAGUAAUGCACACACAGACACUGGAUAAUAGGGCAUGUCUAAUCCUCCCAGUCUUAAAAGAGUUUGAAGGCAGACAAAAGUGUUGCGGGAAAGCCUGCUGCUGGUGAGAUUAGAAAAGGAUGAUUUGCCUAAAGCAGACGUAAAGCAGAAUCUAUUACUUUGUUCUCUGAUGAAUUUAGUGGCUUUAUCUCCCUUUUUUGUAGUAUCCUUUUUAAAACUGCAUGUUUGUAGUUACAUAUCUAUGACAAACACAUGGAUUGUAACAUUUGAAAUAUGUGUGUCUAUAUUUCCUGUUGUUGCCAUCCUUGAAAUUAUUGGUUAGAGCCUAACAACUGUGUACCUUAUUCUGGAUUUCAGUUCUUUGCCGAAUUUAAUUCGAAGCUGCUAGAGUCCACCAAUUACAUUACAAGACGACAAUCUAUCAAGGUAGGGGAAGCAUUUGAUAUAUUCUUAGAUCAGUCAAUGAAGCUAUCCUCUAGGCAUCUGAACCUUGGGAAAUGCCUUCAUUAUAUUCUGCUUCAUUGUUACUAUUGAUAAUUGUACUGUUUAUUGAAAAGGCUUCUUUAAUUGUGACAGCUGUUGGGAGAUAUGUUAUUGGAUCGCUCUAAUGCAGUCGUGAUGACGAGAUAUGUGAGCUCGAGGGAUAACUUGAGGAUUCUUAUGAAUCUUCUCAGGGUAUGAUCCCUUUUAGAUUGCUUGGUAUCAUACCAUGUUGUCAGAUUGUUAGGAAAUUACUGAUGUACCAUUCUGGCAUUUGUGAUGUCUGCUGGAUAGAUUACUAGUACACCAAUCUCAUACAUGAUUGGACUCAACUUAUAUGUGAUGAAUCCUCCUUUGCAGGAAUCAAGUAAGAGCAUCCAGACAGAAGCCUUUCAUGUUUUCAAGGUACAAUUUAAAGAAAGAAAUUGUGAAUGUUUCCUCUUUGAUUCUUUAACUUCAUGUGCUUUUUUCUUUCCUCUCUUAUUGAUUUCCCCCCCCUGUACUGCAGCUUUUUGUUGCAAACCAAAAUAAACCUCCCGACAUAGUUAGUAUACUUGUUGCAAAUAGAAGCAAGCUUCUUCGUUUGUUAGCUGAUUUCAAGAUAGAUAAAGGUAUAAAAACGUAAUACAUGUCUAGUGAAAUUAUGCUGGCUUCAGCACUGUAUUGACAUUUUUUUUUUUUUUUUGCAGAGGAUGAACAAUUUGAGGCAGACAAAGCUCAAAUUGUGAAAGAAAUAGCUGCCCUUGAACCUAGAGAGUAGCCAUGAGUGUGCCUGGUUUCUUGUAAUCAUUUUACAUAAUUUACAGCUCUCAUACCCUGAUGACAAUAUCAGUAUCCAACGAAUAUAUGUUAAAACUGUAUAUUCUUGUGCGAAGGGAAGAGAUAAAUAAAAAGACAUGAAUUGAGUUCAAUCCAAUACUUGGCUUUGAAGAUUGUUUUAAUGGGUGGCAAAAGAACCCUUUGAAGAUUGUUUUAAUGGGUGGCAAAAGAACCCUGUAAAAGAAGGAGUUCAUGUUUUAUCAACCUCUUAGCCUCACCAUCUGUUCAUCCCCCUUUUCAAAAAGAAUUGUGGAAAUGAACUUUAAAUUUGCAAUUUAUUUAUUUCAAAAUAGAACUAAUGAAGUCUGAGGUUUACAAGACCACCUAUAUGUAUGCCAGAAAACAACAGUUUGAAAUUUGAAAGCACAAAGGAAAUUGAAACAAAUAGUAACAUUUGGGCUUGAUUUCUAAUUUUGGGAUAUUCAACGGUUCAACAUGCGAUAUGGUGGCUUUCUAUUAGAGCAUUACUGAUAGAAUUACUUGAAUUUUUUUUGUUUUAAGCUGCUAAUUUAGUUUGGCACGAUUAUACCUUUUUUUGUACCUGAAUUUAUCUUAUUGGUCAAUAAAAAUAUUUGUUAUACUAUUAAUAUAGUUUAUUUUAGUCAGAUUUCUAUCUAGUUGUGUUAGAUUCUCAUUUCAGAACCUUUAAUUUUUAGGUGGACUGCAUCAUCUUUGUAACAACUUCUGGUUCCUACUGUAUUUUUAUGCAUUUAGAAGAUCUCACCACUUCUAUGCUAACCAUUAACCAAACUUAACUUAGGGUAUCUUUGCUAAUGGAGAUAGAAGUAUUUUCACUGUGGGAGUUAAUAGCUAUAGAUGUCUGUGGUCAGACUCAAACCUAAUCUCAUGGAAGGAGAGUAAGCAGCUAGCAAAUGUUCAUGUGCUAAAGGAUGCUAAAAAAGCACAUCGCUAUGCUAUUUCCACCCUCAAGAUUAUCAUGGUGGCAGUGGUGGUCAAGGACAGAGCUAGAAAUUUUGGGGAAUUAGAGAAAAGUUUAGGAGGACCAAAAUUUAAAUUUUUUUAUUUUUAAGACUAAAAAUCUAAUUUAUUGAAGAAGGGAGGCUAGGGAAAAAAUAUUUUCUUGCGAAGGCCUCUGUCCUUGCAGCCCCCUAGUGGUGGUGACUGGAGAUGGUACAAGGUACAUGAACCUUCCACAAUUAUGGGUUUUCAUAAUUAUGAUUGACAUCGGAGUCACCGGUGAACGUCACCAAACACUGCAAGCACAAGCAUAUUCCAAGCAUCUACUUCCAUUCAAAAGCAGAAUGUUCUCUGCUUUGACUGUUAGUCUGUUACUAGCACUCUUCGUUGUCAUAAAAAGGAGACGCAAAAAAGAGUACAAGACAAUGGGGUGUUUUCAUUUUGGAAAAUCUACGACUACACCCUCCAAUUAUUGUGUAGGUUUCAAUUUGGUCCUUCUCCUUCUAAUCUCAUCAAUAUUGAACUUGUGCAAUCACUCUUCCUCAUUAAUUGGAUGUUAAUUUUCCCAUAAAUUGCCUGCAAAAAUCAAGUUUUCCAAUUCAUAUCAAAAUUCCUCAUUCUUAACCUUCCAAUUUAAUUGCCUUAAUUUAUGCUUAGCAAGUGACACCAAAUUAACUAUCAUUCAUGUUUAUUAUGUGACUUCGAAAAUUUCUAUCAUUUAACAUACAACUAUUUUUUUAAUAAUGAAAUUAAAUCAUAAAUGUUUGUGAAUAUAAUUAGAAGGUUAAAAUGGAUUAAAUUAGAAGUAAAUUAAUACACAAAUUAGCAUCUAAUUUAACAAAACAAAUCACCAUCCAAUUAACAAAAAAAAAAAAACAAUUUGGAUAAGUUAGGGUAUCAUCGCUACAAUCACAAAAAGAAGAACCAGACCGAUACCUAUCCAAGAAAUGAAGAGUAUAUUAAUAGUUUGCCCAUAAAUAAAAGGGUUGAAAAGACUCAAGAGAAAUCAUUGAAGGACUUAGUUUAUUUUUCACCUGGACUUUGCUGCAAGAAGCAUUGUUUUAAAAUGGGAUUGGCCCGGGUUGAUCAAGACCGUACUGACUCAGGUUUAGAGCUGCUAAAGUUGAAAAAAAAACUUAUUUGAUCUAGUUAAAAACUCAAUUAAUCUAAUAACCCGGUUAAUCUAGGCCCGACUCAUUCAAAAAUCAGUAGGUUGAUCGAGACCUUACUAACUCAAGUCUAGACCUGUUCAAGUUGAAAAAAAAUAGAAAAAGAUAAAAACUCGUUUUGUUGACCCUUGUAAUUCAAGAGUCAAACCAAUUCAAAACUCAAUCAUCAACCCGUUAACCUUUUCUUUUUCAAAAAAACCAGGUUUUUUUUUAAUUCAUAACCCAAGUCUUAUCCCCCGAUUAACAGGUUUUAAAACUAUGGCAACAAGGACGCUACUACACUGGAAAUCCAAUCAAAGCAGAAAAAGAAAGGCAGAUUCCUCACCAUAAAACGUGCUAUAUAAAAAGAGGAAAAAAAAAAACAGAAACCAAACGGUCCUUUCUGUGGCUGGCUGCUGCUUCCUUAUGUACGUAAAAAGACACAUAGCCUUUCAUCAUUUUCAUCAUUAUCACCACACUAAUUGACCUCCCUCUGCCAUUCUCUUCUUUGUGCAUACAAAUUUAUAAACAUGGCACAAAAUGGUAGGACCCCAUUAAUCUUUUAUCACUUUCUUUCUC